rnacentral:lncRNA from 1 species
CCAAGACAUAAACCGUCUCUUGAUGAGGCUGAACGCUGAAGCACGCUUACCGGUCCCCAGCUGAACAACGCAGGUAGCUGCACACAAGUACAGGCGUACAUUUUAGUCCAAGGAAACUCGGGCUCAGCACACGAGAAAACGACCAACACAAAAUCGCCGGGGCCGUGCGCCUUCCUCGCGCGCGCGGCGACGGGGACUCGUGGGCGCCGGGGCGCCGGUUGGCCAUCGUGCACCCCUGCCUCACGGCACCCUCGCCCGCACACGUAAAAUUCCCGCGCGCUCGCUUCGGCUCUCAGCCUCCUCAGAGCUCAGACCCACGCUCCCACUCCACGCAAUGACGCAACCAAAUUAAAAAAAGCCCGCACCCAGGUUUACACCGCGCGCGCCGCGCGGCGGCAACGCGACACAAAACCCGACGAAGCCAAACCGAGCAAGCAAAGCAAGCAUCCGACCAACCCCCGGGCGCGCGACGCGAGCAACGGAAUGGUGUUCAGCGCCUCGUUCGUGGCGGCGGCGGCGCGCGUGCCGGCGGAGCUGUGCCAGCGGCCGCCGCGCCCGGGGCGGCGGCGGGUGAGCGCGGACGACGUCCUGCGCGCGCUGUUCCUGCCGCCGGCGCGGGAGCUCGGGCGCCUCGGGGACUUCCUCUUCGCCUUCUUCUGCCUGCCGCUGCCGGAGUACUACCUGACGGGGUCCGGCCGCGGCGGCGGGUGGGUGGCGCGGGCGCCCGACGCGGUGCUGUACACCUACCGGAGGUCUCUCUCGGUCAGCUCGUCGUCGUCCUCAUCCUUCUCGUCGUCGAUGUCUUCGUCGGAGGAGGAUUGAUUGCUGACGAGGAAUAAUAAUAAUCUGUAUAGGUUGCGGAAUGCAACGGCAGGGUUCGUGUUUGUUUGUGUAGUAGGAGAAUCAUUAGGUGUGACUUGUACGCCCAAUUCUUUUGUGACCUCUUUACCCAAAAAAAAAAAAAUCUUUUGUGACCUCUGCGUAUAUAUCCAAUGAUUUGAUAUAGAUAAAUGUUCAGUUUUUCUUGUGAGCUGCAAAAUCUAAAUGAUUCUCUUCGCAGUACUUUACCAUUUUUAGAGGAAGCAAUUGCUUACUUCUACUUUUCAUAAUGUAUAUAUCAACUUUUGUAAUGUGAUUUUUUUUAAGAAAAAGUCUACUUUUCCUCCUACUUUCACGAAAGUCCGUUUUUCCUUCAUCAACUCCAAAACCGGGCAAAUCACCCCCAUCAACUUUUCAAACCGUGUAUUUUACCUCCUUGGAGCGGUUUCGAAAGUAGUUUUGCUACAGUGAAUAGAGGUUUGUUGCAGAAACUGUGGUUUUGUCUUUUUUUUAAUUAUUUCGGCUAAAUUUUUGAAAAAUCAUGCAAUAACAGUGGUUUUGUAUUUUUUUAAUUAUUUCGGCUAAAUUUUUGAAAAAUCAUAGUAAAUCAUAAGAAAAUCAUAAAAAUAGAAAAUCCAAUUUUUUGGACUCUACAUAAGUAGAUCUACAUAGUAAACAUAUAAUAUGGUAUGCUUUAGUACAAAGUUUUUGCUAUAAAGGUUUUGUCCUUCUCUUUCUUUUAUUUAUUUGGCUGAAUCUUGGAAAAAUAAUAGUAAAUCAUAGAAAAAUCAUAAAAUAAAAAAAAAAUAUAAUUUUCUUAGUCUCCAUAUAAGUAUAUAUACAUAAUUAACAUAUAAUAUGUGUAUGUGUUAGUCCGACAAAAUAAUUGUAGAAGGUGCAACUAUGAAUUAUUUCAAUUAGUUACAUAAAAGCAUUGAUCUAAAACUACAUAAAAAAUACUAAAGCAUACCAUAUUAUAUAUUCACUGUGUAGAUAUGCCCGUGUGGAGUCUAACAAAAUUAUAUUUUAUAUUUAUGAUUUUAUUCUGUAAUUUACUAUGAUUUUUCAAAUAUUUAGCUGAAAUAAUAAAAAAGAAAAAGACAAAACCUUCUUUGUACUAAAGCAUACUAUAUUAUAGUUCAUUGUGUAGAUCUACUUAUGUGGAGUCCAACAAAAUCAGAUUUUCUAUUUUAUGAUUUUUUUCUAUGAUUUACUAUGAUUUUUUUAAAGAUUCAGCCGAAAUAAUUAAAAAGGAAAAAACAAAAUCACCAUCAUUGUAGCAAAACCACCAUCACUGUAGUAAAACCGCCUUCGAAACUGCUCCACGGAGGUAAAAUGCACGGUUUGAAAAGUUGAGGAGGUGAUUUGCCCGGUUUUGAAGUUAAGGGAGGAAAAACGAACUUUCGUAAAAGUUGGAGCAGCAAAAGUAGAUUUUUUUUUUGUUUUUGUUUUUAUGAGCAAUCUGGACAAAUUGUUGCAUGUUCAAAGGCCCCCAUGCUUGUACUUUGUAGAGGCCCAGCGAUAACUAAAAUGGGCCUCAGACAAUCUCAGCCUAGCCCAGUUCGGUCCACGCGCUAACCCGCCGUGUCGGACGAGACGAGCAGUUAGCCAGUUACGACGACGCGGCACGCGAACACUCCCGCGAAAAGCGAGACUGAAUCCACCACAGAUGCAUCACCACCGUCCACUUCCACCAUCCGGCCAAAUCAAACGGUUACCGCGAACGUCACGCUCCAAAACGAAUAAAAAAUGCCAGAGCUGAAAACCAACACGUCAACCUCCCCCGUCUCGAAGCAACCCCACCUUCUCUUCUUUUUUCCGCCUUCCUUUCCCCGUGCAACAAACGCAAACGCGAACGCGACCCAACGAAUCGAAUCAAAUUCGCCGUCCACCUCGUCGGCGUCGGCGCCACCGGCCUCGAGCCCAAGCCCCCGUCGUCCGAUCAGGCAGCCGAGAUGCAGCACGGGAGCGGCGACUACGCGUCCUCCGCCCCCUCCGGCCACUACUACCAGCACCAGUACGCGCCCCCCGGCUCCAACCCCUAUCCAGCCGCCACCGACGCCCCGGCGCCGGGUGCAGUGGCGGGGGGCUACGCCUCCGCACCGCCCUACUCUCUCGGCGGCGGCUACCCCGACCAGCCGCCCUCCGCCCCGGCCUACUCGCAACCACCCUCCGCCCCGGCUUACUCGCAGCCGCCGCCCCAGCCCCAGCACGGCGCCGGGUACACGCCUUACAACACCAACCCCACGACCUACCCGCCGGAGGCGUAUUACUCCUACACGCCGCCGCCCACCCAGACCACGGCCCCGCCGCCUGCGGAGCCCAACCCCGUGCCGCUGCCCUACGACGCCCCGUACUACGGGGGCGGGUACCAGCCGCCGGCCACGGGGUACGACAACGAGGAUUACCUGAACGAGGGCGCGUACGCGUACAGCGGCGGCCGUGGCUCGGAGCCGUACGGGGCGCGCGGCACGGCCCCUGCGCGGUCGGGAUCGGCGCUGUUUGAUGACUAUGGGCGGUCGAUCAGUGCCCCAUCUGAUGACUAUGGGCGAUCGAUCAGUGCCCAAUCUGGAUGGGAGGAGCAAUCGUGGGGCAGUGGUGGUGGUGGCGGAGGGGGUGGGAGCUAUGGGGUGAUCGCAAAGGCCCUUCCUAAGGCGGAAACACAUGAGGAUGCGAGUGGUGGUGCACAGAAGUUUCGGGUUAAGCUGCUGCCAGAGGGUGUUGGGAACCCUACUGAUGUGCUUUGCCAGGUAUAUAGUGAUAAUAAGCUUGAUGAAAUUAUGCAUCAUUGGCAACAUUUGUUUGAAGACUGGGAGGUCUUAUGAUAUUAUUCUAGGAUUCACUAAUUUUCCUUGGGAAUUCCUGUAACUCCUUGAACCCACAUCUAGUAUUUGUUGUUUAGGACAAAUAAAAGCAACUGUCAUUUUGGUAUAUGAAAUGUCUUGAUGGUGGUGUUGCAGAUUGGUCUAGAUGGAAUUCGCAUGCUUGAUCCGAGUACAGGCAGGACCCUAAGGAUUUAUCCACUCGAUUCACUGACAAGAUGGGAGGUGAGUUGGCCAACUUGUUCUUAUGAAGACUAUAUCUGUAUCUUUGUACAACACAAAUUCGUUACAGUUUUUAUAUUUAUGUUUGUUUGUCCUGCUUAUUUAGGUUUUGGAUGCAUCUAUAUUUGCAUUCUGGGCGAAGACAUCAGUGGAUGUUGAACCAAAGAGAAUUAGGCUGAAGUCAAGCAGUUAUACUUCCAAUACUAUGCUUGACACUGUGACAGCAGCAACAGUGCAGGUAUUGCAGCAACACUGCUUUUCCUGACCCUGAUAGUAUUUAGCCUCAUAUUUUCUACUAGCAAGAUGCUUCUGUGAUGAUGCCUUAGUUCCUUUAUAUAUACAUCCUUUUGCUUCCGGUCUUAUUUGUCUUUGAUGUGGCUUCGUAUCUGAACUAAAUCUGUAAUGAGAAGCCAGAAGAUUUAAUCCUAUCUGCUAGCAUGCAUCAGUUUUAAGAUGGAACUUCAUCUAGUCCAACAUGUUUAUCAUCAUGACAUAUAUACUAAGGAGAUCAUAUCUUUUUUUUUACAUGGUUUACCCCUAUUGAUUAUGGAUUGUAUAAACUUAUAUCUCAUCAAUACGAGAAGUAAUCAAUAGGAACAGUAGUUAGAGUAGAAAACAAAACAUAAAUAGUUUCCAAAUAAACUUCUAUAAAGCUGGAGGUUGUUACAAUAAAAUUUUAUUCCAGUUUUCCACAUUGCUAAAUGAGACGUAACACAUAACCUGUAAAAUAGCAUGUUGUUCUUUAUUGUUUUGUUUGCAUUUUAAAUUUCUUCUAUCCCAAUGUUCGCUCUGUAUGAACCACAUUCUUUUUUAUUUCAUAAAAAGGAUGCAAAUUGGAUAACUUGGAUAUCAGAUGGGAUUUUAAUCUUUUUUUUCUAUAGAAAUGGUCCUGUUUUUUAUUAUGUAAUUUUCAGCACAAAUGUAGGCUGCAGAAAACUUUAAAUUGUUUUCCUGGUGGUCUAUUUUAUUCAGUGGAUUAUUUAUUCACGCAAUGCUUUAAGCAAUUUUGCCUUUCGAUGAAUUGAGCAGUGCUUCUUAACUUUGUGCUUCCAUAUAAUUAGUUUAAGGAGAUAGGUGGAGAUGCAAGAAGCAAAGGAGCAGUGGAAACUGGCAAGCCUUCAGUACAAUCAAAUGAGAAAAAGAAAGGUUUUGAUUGGAUGUUUACAAAACCUGUUGAUGAAGUGAAAGACCAUUGGGUAUGCUGAGCCUGAGCGACUACUUUCAAUAUUCUUGGAACCAUUUUGGUUUAAGCUAAUUCAUCACUUAUAUUGUUUGCAUGUUAUUUUUUAUAAGAAUGUCUGCUUCCCUGCUACUGCUACAUGCAUAUAGGUGGCUAUCUGUAUUUUCUAACAUUUCAUUGAACAUUUUGUCAUCUCAUGUUUGUGCUUCAGUUGUAUUAAUUGUAUGUUAAUAUGCCAGAUUGCCAGUGUUAUUGAUCUUAUUCCAAGUUCUUGACAAUAUUUGUUAUAUUGUAUCAAUAUAUCACCCUUUCUAAUCUUAUGAUUUUUUUCUUCACUUGUAAUUUUGUUAAGUUUCUGCAAUACAUUUAAUUUUGUACCUUAUAGGUCCCAGAUGAGGUUGCCAAGAAGUGUCACUCGUGCGCCGUUGAUUUUAGCCCUUUCAAUCGCAGGGUAAUCUAUAUAGCAUAUUUGUCCACAAAUUCAUUCUCUCUUAUGGUAAAAUUCUAAUGCCUUGAGAUGGUUCCUUUCUCACAGCAUCAUUGUCGGAACUGUGGUGAAAUCUUUUGUGAUAAAUGCAGUCAGGGAAGAAUUGCUCUGACAGCUGAGGAUAAUGCUCCACUUGUCAGAGUUUGUGAUAGAUGCAUGGUAUGUUCUACUACUCGAUUGUUACUCACAAUUUCUUUAUUUUUACAAUGAUUGGAAUUACUUUGCUUCAAUGUUUGUUUUAUACCGUUAGCUCUUUGCUUCAACUCCAAUUUUAUGGGCACCAGCAUUGUUAGAAUAGAUUACCCAGUAGUUGUUAGUUCAGUCAUCACUUCUUCGUUGCUAGCUGUUUGGAACCAGUAUUACACUGUUAUAUAUGUAGCGUGUCUUGCUUAUUUGUUUCAUAAUGUUACUUCAGAGUGGGCCCACCCUAUAUAGCUAAGUUAUUUGGUUAUUGCUGUUCUCUGCCUAAUUAUUACUAAAUAAUUGUUGUUUGAGAAUGUAUUUCUGUAUUGUUAGUAUUGACUUAAAUUUAUCUUGGCUAUAUUUAUAUUUAUGGUGUUAACCAACCUGUAUGUUUUAUUUUUAUUCUUGCUUUGGUACUUUUAAGUUCUGUUUUAUUAAGUUUCUAGCUGCAUGAAAUGGUUCAGGAGUUUCUGAUAGGUUUAUAUGGAAACUAUGAUUUUCCGUUGGUGAAGUUUCUAUGCCAUGUGUUCAUAGUAGUUUUUAUGUUGUACAGGCCGAGGUCACUCAAAGGCUUAGCAUUGCUAAGGAAGCUGCCAACAGAUCUGCAACUGUGCAAAGUCAUGAAGAUCUUGCAAGAAAACUGAAGGUAAUAUACUGCUUUUUCCUGUCAUAUAUUCACUUAAGUGGCUGUGCACUUGAAUUAGUUGUGCAUGCUUGGUUUGAAGCCAAGAGUUGUGAAAGUACUCCAUUUCAAAAAAUUUAGGCGGAUUAGAAUUCCAAACAAACAUAGUAAAGUUUGACCAUCAAUCAGUCAAAAUAUAUGUAUGUUUAGUGCAGCUAUGCAUCAGUAGAUUCUUACGUCACAUAUAUACUUUAUAAUAUAUAUUGUAAGAGGAACUAAUGGUCAAGUAUGCCUUCAAAGAUUUUCUGAAAUCCUAAUACGCCUUGUAAAAGGAUAUGGGGGGAGUAUUUGGUUCACUACCAGAAAUGUGGCAGGAUUUCAUUUCCUUAAGCAUAGCUAAAUUGUGGACGGCUAAUUUCAAAACUAAAUUUGGUUUUUCAUAUUUCGUUGAGUUCUGAUAGGGUAAAAGUAGGCACUAAAGCACCAAAGAGGUCAGUACAAGCAGUGCCAGCAUUCUCUGAUGAUGAUUGGCAAUAUUGCUGUUGUAAUGCUCAUUGUAUUGAAAGCUGUGAUAAUGCUUCAGGACGUUUUACUAAUCUACCUGCAAGUUUCAUGUCAUUUUAUUAGUUCAAGAACUAAAUUAAUGAACUUGCAAAUGAGAAGUAAAUUGCACAUCAUUUUGGUUAUUCACAAUGCAAAUGAAAACAAGAUAAUCGUAAAGCUGUAAUAAUAUAUAAUUUGUUUUUAACAUAUAUCUAUGAUUCUAACAAAAUUAUGUUGUGAUUAGGAGGAAAUGGAGAAAAACCGCAAGUCUUCAGGUACUUAUUUCUUUCCAUCCCUUUUACAAGUUCAAAUUACAUAGAUUAUGAGCUUAUCGGAACUGUGAAAUCUCUGUUUGAAAAGGUCCAGCAUCUGGUGGUGGUUCAUCUGGUACCAGAAUGAGGGAAGUCGCGUGCCCUACCUGCACAGUCCAUCUUCAGGUAUGUCAAAAAGUUACUCUCGCCGCAUAACACAGAUUACUUUAUGCUCCUAGUAAUUAUCCAUUUAGUAUUAUUAUUAUGCCCUAAUAACUAAUGUGGCUGAGGAAUUGCAGGUUCAGGUUCCAACAUCUGGCUCAGAGACAGUGGAGUGUGGAGUGUGCCAGCAUGCCUUCCUUGUCAGCGCCAAUUGAUACACCGGGGAGACAGUGCAUGCUAUAGAAAUUAUUCUGUUGAUAACUAUUCCUUUUUUUUUUGUUAUGCUGUAUACAUAAUAAGUGUGUGUUGUGUCAGCCUGUACAUGUUUCUUUGAUUGUGUUGGUGAUCACGGUUAGGAUGUCUCUUUUUCCCCUGUACAUGGGUGAAUUCCAAUUCGGGAGUAUUGCAAUGCUGGAUGUAUGCAGAGAAUACCAUUAGAUUAUAACCGGUGGAGCCUGAAGAGUGAAGGUUGUGCUCAUGCACGCGUGUGACGUCCGCAUUAUGCCUGUUCGAAGUUCUAUCAUGCUGCUUCUUUAGUACCUUUGUGCCCCUUCAGAGCCAAAAAAAAGGGUAUCUGUUUUGAAGCAAAUUUUGUACAGAACAUCAUCUGUCAGCUAUUAGCAGAUUGAGGUGUGUGUUUUGCGUAGGGAUGAAAACGAAAAUGAUAAUCUCCGAUUUUUGGAAAUUGUUUUUGAGUUUUUUUUUAAAUGUUUAGACCUAAAUAAAAUUGAUAACGGUAACGAAAAAACAAAAACACUAAUAGUAAAAAUAAUAAAAAACGAUCGUUUUAAAGAUUUCCGUAUUUAACUGGUAAUUUACCGUUAUAAUUAUCGGUUCAAAGGUCUUUAAUUAAUGAUGUCUGACAUUUAUCUUUAGGAAGCCUAUAGGCUACGAUCUCUAAGAGGAACUUUAAUAAUUCAUAUUUUGAUCACCAUAUUAUAUCAAGUCAACUUGAAACAUGAUCGUUUAUAUUGUAUCUUUGUCUGUUUGAUACCUAAAAUAGUGUGAACUAUGUGGUUUUAGCUUGUGAUCUUAUCAAUUAUGACUUUAUUUAUCAUUGUCAUCUGAGAUAGGUCGAGUUAUAUAGAUUUUUUUAUGUUCAAUGUUUUGGCGUGUUUAUUGUUUUAGGAUAUCGUUCGCAUAGAUUCCGAUCGUUCUCCAUACAUUUUUCGAUUGACUACUAUUAUUUUCAUAAUGAUUUCGUUUUAGAGAAAAAAAUAUGAAAACAAAAGUGAUUUGGCCUCCUAUCGAUCGUUUCCGAUUAUUUUCAUGCCUAGUUUUGCAAGCCUGUUCGCUUAAGUUUAUCUAUCAAAUCUGUCAACUAUUCAAGAGUAUUUUUUUUCUUACAACAAAUCAUCAAAUACAUUCAUGAUUUAUCAGCCAAGCAUGGAACUAGCUUUUGGAUCAUCCGACGUCGUGGCCGUUGAGGGACGUGAUCCGUCGAAGUGCCGCAUGUUUGAGCGUUCGCCCUUUGGCAAUACAUUGUUAUCGCAAACACAAUCGAUUUGCAAACACAAUCGAUUUUCUAGAGAAGAUCAAUGCCAGACAGGAGCGAGGCCAACGAUUGCGAUAGAAACUGGGCCAAGUCGAAGCAUGAUGUCGCUCCCAUUCAACAUCUCAAAAAACCUGCUGCCCGUCUCUUUUUCAACCGAUCCAUCAUUCCCCUCGAACAGGCAUUCUUGGCAAACAAACAGGGUUCAGAAAAAGGCCAUCAAAUGAUCAACCCUUCCAAGCAGCUCUACAUUCUCUGCGCAGCUAGCUCGGAGAGCUUUCUUCUGCUCGUUCCAUCGAGGCAAACAUCUCAGGGAGGGGAGGGCCUAGCAUCAUCCAUGUGACAGACAGUCAUCCAUGCAUGCACGGGCCCAGCAAAACUGCACCCUCUGGCGUAAGCUGUAGUAGCCUCUUUGUCUACGAGCAUCAUACAUGUACACGCGUAGAUGUCAGUGGCACACGUUAUCCGGCCGGUACACCCGCGCGGCGCCUCUACACGUCGCUGUGCCGGCUGCCCGGCACGGCGGUGGGGCGGUGCGGCAUGUUGCUGGCAUGAUUGGUCGCCAUGGAGCCUAUAGAAAGCAGCGUCCACGGCGCGCGCGCCUCGCCUCGGAUAAGCCGCGGCGCAAGCACCAUCAUCGUGUUCCUGAAAGCGUUGUAUCAUGAAGCAGGCCGCCUGCAGCGGUGCCAAGCACGGACUCGAGUAGCAAGCAGCAGUUCAGUCAGUCCGUGCAGGUGCUGUGCGGGCAGACGCUGAAAGACUCGACAACGAAUGACAAGUGCACUCUCAUGGCUAAAGAAAGCCUACCUAGCUAGGCGAUACAGAAAUUAACCGGAGCAGGCUCUAGAGGUGGCAUGAUUCAACGUGAUCUGAUGAGUGUGUAGAAGCUGCGUGGGCAUGUCAGCGGCAUAGCAGCGGCGUGGCUGGCCUAAUCCGGCAUGGCAGCGGCGGCGUCAGCCUGACGGAUGUUCAUGUCGCAGGAGCUAGCAGAGCUUCAGAGGUGCUUGAGUUUCUGCAUCUACUCUAUGCAUCUUCUGCUGCUAAAGUGCUGGAGUAGCAUCCAGCAGAAAUUCGACGGGGAAAUUCCUCCCGAGCAGAGGCUAAUCGAUCGAGUCUGCCAGGUUUCUGCUCCUGAUCGAUUGUGAGAUCGUGCUGUCUUUUUGACCGGCAAUUUGGCAACGGCCGGACGGUAUGAUUACUUGGCAGUCGGCACCUGACGUUCUUGUUAGCGUUUGUAUUAUGUUUUUGUACAAUCAAUCUUUGACAGUAGUUGUGUUGUUGAUGAGAAUAAGUUAGGGGAGAUUUGGCCAUUUCUUGCCGGAAAAAAAAAAGCAGUCAAUGAGUUUUGUGCUCUGUAUAUAUGAAGUUGGUAUUUGCCCACCCGCUCUCUGAACUCUGAAUAAACUUGCAAAAAGCAUCUGAUGCAACAAAAUAGCAUCUUUUUGAAAGAUGCAACAAUAGCACAUAAGAACCAGACGUCUCAAUUAUCCUCGGACAACUUUCGUUUGCUUUUGGCUAGCGAGGUGUGUUUCUGUUUCGCAUGUGGACGCAGCGUACGUGGGAAAAACUUGCACGGGCUUUUCCCCAUUUCAGUAGAAUCUCCCUUCCAUAUGGCCAUACUCUUUCCCCACUUCAGCAGAAUCACCCUUUUCCUGUUCAUGAAGCCUGACAUGUAGUAUAUAUAUUGGCACAUGUCACCCCAUAUGGCCAUACUCUUUCUCGCCCGUGAACCUUCCGUAUACCCGCUAAGAGCCAAGGCAUAGAAGAAAGCGAAGAGGGCAAAGGGAAUCUCAUCGAACUGAAAUACUGAAUUUCUUCCAGUCGUAGUGGCUGCAGCUAUCACGUACAGCAUCAAAUUGUCAGUUUGGUGGGUGCUGCCAUACUACUACUACUACUAGCUGUAGUGCGUGAUGGAGAGCGCAUCAACCAUCAUCUUGGACAAAUUCCCUAAUAUAAAAACCCAAGUUGUCCACAAAGGAUUCGAGAUCCCAUCCUCCAAUUGCCACCCCGUUCGAUACACUGGAAACGAUAAGUUGCCCCCUCUUUCCAGCCCCCCAAAAGUCUGAAAAGAGGCCAUGGCCAUGAGCUUGCAACCAACAGUCCAUGCUCCUUCAUCAUCUGGCCGUUUGGACGUUUGACGCUAUCCGUGCCCAUUAUGCAGCAGCUCUUUGAUCAGAUCAAGACAUCAAGUGCAUGCCAACAUGCCAUCCUCUGUCCAGACGAGCAAAUUUGUAUCGUUGCAUGCAAGGACAGGCAUCAACAAUCCAAGCCGCAUCCGGCAUCGGCCAUGCUUUGCUGCCCGCGCGCCUCUACCACCCGGCCAGUUAGCUCAAACUCAUCCAUCAGACCAUCAGUCUCAGCAGCCGAUCAGGGAGGCCAGAGGACCCUCGUAGUAGUAGACAAGCACGAGAGGGCAGGCUGCAGGAGGACAGACGAUACAUAUAGGGCUGGGUAGGGUAGGGUAUGGACCUCCAAUCGUCCAUUCCAUCGGGCUGCCGGCUGCGCAUGCAGAUAAUGCAUACUGUACUAUGCAUGGAUGGUGGUUGCGAUGGGGACGCGUGAGCGAGAAAUUGUUCCAGUGGCCAGGCCAACCAAUGCAACCGGUGAUCGGCCGGGGCUGGCUGAUCCAUCCGUGGUUCGAUUGGAAUUUGGCCGCCUCUUGGAUUCUUGCCCACGGUCCACGGAUGUUACGAAUCUGGAUGUUCUCUUCCAUUCCAUCAGAUGGAAAUAUAUGGCCUCAUUGCAAUAUGCAUGACCUAGCUAUUGGAGGUUGGAGGUCGACGAUGUCCUUUCUCUUCUGAACUUUGUGCACUGGACAACACUGAAUUCGUAGCCGUGAGCCCGUGAGGCCCGUUUCUCUGAACAACACUAAUUGAGGCUACGGCCUGAUUAGGCUCUACGCAUGCUGUUAGGUGUGCUAAUUAGGUGCACUACGUGCUGCUCCUACGGUCCUAUUGCCCUCGUAGUAGUAGUAAUAGUAGUACGUACUCCCUCCGUCCACGAAAAAAUCAAUUUCUAGAGUUGUCCUAAGUCAAAAUUUUUAAACUUUGACCAAAUUUCUAGAAAAAAUACUAAGAUUUAUGGUAUCAAAUUAGUAUCAUUAGAUUCAUCGUAUAAUAUAUUUUUAUAUGAUGUGCAUUUUAUAUCAUAGAUGUUGUUACUCUUUUCUAUAAAGUUAGUCAAAUUUUUAAAAGUUUGACUGACACGGAUUUUAAGAAUUGACUUUUUCGUGCACGGAGGGAGUACAUGCUACUGCGCUAAGCACAAGACGGGACAUGCAACUAAGCACACACGCUCGCGAAUCCAGAGAAGAGCUGUAGUGCGUGAUGGAGAGCAGGUGGCGUGGGUUUGCGUCGAGGCAGCCUCGGUUUCUCGCGUUGCAUGCUGCUCUCUAGGCAGGUUGCCUCUGCCAGCGCCGGCCAUGAUCGUCCGAAAUCCUAUGCUCUGUGCUCUUGCUAGUCCGCCUAAAAUAAACCCAACUGCGAGUCUCAGGCCUUGUUUAGUUGCUAAUUUUUUUCAAAAUUCUCUAUCAUAUAAAAUCUUUAGACGCAUACAUAAAAUAUUAAAUAUAGAUAAAAAUAACUAAUUAUACUAUAAUUUGCGAGAUGAAUCUUUUAGAUCUAGUUAAUUUAUAAUUAGAUAAUAAUUAUUAAAUAAAAAUAAAAAAACUAUAGUAACCAGAGCUAUAAAUUUUUUCACAAACUAAACAAGACCUCAGACGCGGAAAUUGUUCAAAACGGAUGGCCUAAAGUCUAAACGCAUGGCGACUUGCUGCUCCGUCUUCCGUCACAAAGACGGAGCGGUCUUGUUUAGUUUCAAUUUUUUUGCCAAAAUAAUUACUAUAACAAUUUCAUUUAUAUUUAAUAAAUAUUGUCUAAUCAUGGACUAUCUAAGCUUGAAAAUUUCGUCUCGUAAAUUAUAAAUGUAUAUUUAGUUAUUGUUUUUAUUUAUAUUUAAUACGCUAAUGCAUGUGUCGCAAGAUUUGAUGUGAUGAGAAUUUGAAAAAUUUUGUAAAAAUUUUUUAGAACAAAACAAGGCCUGAGUGUGGCUAUAUCCGCCUAAAGUUCCUUUCGAGACCGGCCAAAAUCCAGCUGGAUUUGCCAGAAUUUUUUUGCAAAUUCCGCCGUGACUGGGGGAGCUGUGGAGGGUGCCGCUGCCACGCAGUCCACACAUACUGUACGGCAUGUGGAAACAGUAGCGAUGCCGUAUCAGCAUGUCGGCGGCGGCACGUGGGGAACCUCCUCGCGUGUAUGCAUGCGCAAUGCGUACCCGGACGUGCGGCGCUAAGCUUUACACGGGGAGUAAACAACAAGCACUCCCUCAAGAUGAAACAGCUUUUACUGGGACAUCAAGCUGACCACAUGCAAUGCACUGCUCGUAGGCUAAGAACUUGUUUAGAUACACCCAAAAACUAAAAACUUUACAAGAUUUCUCAUCACAUCGAAUCUUGCGGCACUUGCAUUAAACAUUAAAUAUAGAUAAAAAAAGAUAACUAAUUGUACAGUUUACCUGUAAAUUACGAUAAAAAUCUUUUAAGCUUAGUUACUCCAUAAUUGGACAAUGUUUGUCAAAUAAAAACAAAAGAUGCUACAGUGUCAAAAUCCAAAAAAAUUUUGGAUCUAAACAAGGCCUAAAAAAACACUACUGCUGUAAAAGUUAUAAGUGAAACUGUUCGCCAAUUUAUUAUAAGAGAAAAAUACUAUUGAAAAAUAAAAAAAUACGACUUACAAAAUAAGCGAAUAGAUGUGAGCACAGGAUAUAAAAGCUCACCGUACCUACGGGGAUAUAUUAACUUAUUAAGUCCGCCAUUAUUGAUCCAUUAGCUAGUAUGAAGCAUGAACGCUGAAAUAUGAGGACAAUAUUGUUCAUGGAUAGCAGAAAUAAGUGAUUGUGUAAACUGUUAGUUGUUAGUUUAGUUCUUGUGUUGUAUUGUUUGUAUGAGUAUGACACUUAGUUAUGAAUCUAUGUAAACGAGAUUAUUGAUGAAAGCAUGUGUUGUUUAACUAUUAAUAUAUAUUUGAGUUUUCUAGCUAACUCCUGAUUUUUUUAAUAUAUAUUUGAGUUUUCUGAACUUGUAUUGAGGUGUUACUCAUGUUCUCAACUCUCAAAUUUUGAUAUUUGGAUCCCUAAUCUAAAUCCCUGAACUCGGAGGUCAACACAUAAUUAGCAUGAGCCAUUAGUGCCAUCUUUGUGUUGACAUGCAAGUUCCUAUAUAUAUAUAUAUAUAUAUAUAUAUAGGUGACACCGACAUAUAAGUCUGGAAAUAUAAAUAAUAAAAUUCAAGAGUUGAAGACCCAAGUGACAUGACAAUGCAAGCUCAAAGAUCACUCAUGUAUCAGAAAUGGAAAGUUAAGUGCAACUCCAAUAAUUCCUUUAUAUCCUUCAGAUAAGAAUAUAAUUUUUUGUGUUUAAUUAAAUUUCUAAAUAUUCCCAUCCUCAAAUCUCUAUUUCUAUUUUCUCGCUAGUUAAAAAUAGAGAAUGGCGAUGAUCCUCCGAAAUACGUAUAAAAUAUAAUAAAGCUGUUAGAAGAUGGAAAGAUGUAUAUGAAGUUUUUUUUUUAUUCAAAUGGCUCGUUAAAUAGGGAUUUGAUCUUGGAGAUCGACGUUCCAAGGACCUACUAGAUGACGUCGGCGGUUACUCUCGUUUCUUCCUCCCCCGAACAAUGUGCCCACUACGGACGGGUGAUGUAUGUUUAGCGAAAGUGAAAAGUGAUGGAUGUAAUGAUUGUCUAUUAUCAGUGAACAGUAAUUUUACAUAUAUAUACAAGAGGCAGUUAUUUGUGUCAGUGACACAAGAACAGUGCCUUGGCGCCCACGGGGCCUAAAACGAUGCGGCGACGGUUCGGUCAUUAGCACGUGUCUAAUGACAGGAAUAUACUAAUUGAUCAUUUAAUUAAUUAUUCUAAUUAAUCCUAACACUCCCUCUUGAUGAAUUAAUCUUCUUGUGGGCACCGUUUCUUGUUCAUCAGUAUACGUCUUGAAGCUUUGGAAAAACCCUGUGGGAAAAAUCCAAAGUAUAUGGAUAUACCAGGUAAAACUCUCUAAAACCUAGUGGGAAAAAUAAGGAGAAACCCCAUGAUAUAUAUGAAAUCAAUGUUAAUAGACCCUUUAGGUAACCUAAAGACUUAGGCCCUGUUUGGUUCCACCAACUAAAUUUUAGUCACUUUAGUAGCUAAAGUUCCAAACACAUUGACUAAAAGAGGCUAAAAUAGUUUAGUUCCAUUAGUCACUCAAGAGUAGCUAAAAUAAUUUUAGCUAGCUAAAAUUUAGUUGGUGGAACCAAACAGGGCCUUAGUCUAAAACAAUUUGAUCAGAGAUCAAAAUGUCAAAUAUUAUCCUUGAAAAACCUCAAUGAGGAAAAAUAGAUAAUAUGACAAUCACCUUGUGUUACUAUUACCUCAUUAAAAACUUUAUUUGAGAAAGCUCUUAAUAGAGUAAAACUCAUAUAAAGGAAAAAGAGUAUAAUAUAAUGAUGAAGUAGAAUAUCUUUUUAGAGAGAUUCUCCCCCUGAACUUUGCAAAUCUUUAAGCUUUCUCAUACCAAUCCCAUCAACACAUUUCUUGAAUGUGGAGUAUGGUAGAGAUUUUGUGAAAAUAUCUGCUAGAUUAUCACAAGAUUUCGUUUGCAAGAUCUCUAUUUCUCCAUUCUUUUGGAGCUCAUGAGGGUAGAAUAAUUUAGGAAUAAUAUGCUUAGUCAUAUUACUCUUAAUAUAUCCUGACUCCAUCUGAGUAACACAAGCCGAAUUAUCUUCAAAGAUAAUAGUCGGUGUCUCAGCUAUACCAAUACCACAUGAUUGUGUUAUGUGGUGAAUUACUCUACGAAGCCAUACGCAUUCGCGUGAUGCUUCAUAUAAAGCAAUUAUUUCAGAAUGAUUGGUAGAGGUGGACGUUAGUGUCUGCUUUGAAGACUUCCAAGAUAUUGUUGUACCACCUUGUAAGAAAACAAAGCCCGUCUGGGAUCUACCAUGAUGUGGAUCUGAUAGAUAACCAGCGUCUGUAUAUCCUAACAAAAUUGGAUCUUGAUUUCUGCUAUAGAAUAAACCAAGAUCUUUUGUGCCAUUAAGGUAUCUAAAUACCGUUUUGACUCCUACCCAAUGGCGUUUAGUAGGUGCAGCAUUAUGUCUUGCCAGCAGAUUUACUGCAAAUGCAAUAUCCGGCCGGGUAUUGUUAGCAAGAUACAUUAGUGCUCCUAUGGCACUGAGAUAUGGGAAAUGUGGUCUCAAUAUCUCUUCAUUCUCUUCCCGAGGUCUAAAUGGAUCCUUUUCCACAUCUAAGGAUCUUACUACCAUCGGUGUUUUUGUUGGAUAUGACUUGUCCAUAUUGAAUUUUUCCAAUAUCUUUUGGACAUAGCUAGAUUGGUAUACGAAUAUACCAGAAGGUAAGUGCUCAAGUUGUAAACCCAAGCAGAAUUUGGUUUGACCCAAAUCCUUCAUUUCAAACUCCGUCUUUAAAUGAUGACGUGCUUCAUCAAUAUCGGAUCCAUUGCCGAUAAUAUUGAGGUCAUCAACAUAAACUGAUAUAAUACAGAAUCCAGUUGAUGACUUCUUAAUGAAGACACAAGGACAGUCAUCAUUAUUUGUGUAUCCCUUUAGCUUAAGGAAUUCACUUAACCGAUUGUACCACAUUCGGCCUGACUGCUUUAAGCCAUAUAAUGACUUCUGCAACUUUACGCAAUACAUAUUGCGAUUUGCCUUCGGGUUUGGUAUAUUGAUUCCAUCUGGAACCUUCAUGUAUAUAUCUGAAUCUAAUGACCCAUAUAAAUAUGCGGUCACGACGUCCAUCAACUGCAUAGAUAGACGAUUUUGUACUGCCAAUGCUAUUAAGUAUCGGAAUGUUAUUCCGCUCAUUACUGGAGAGUAAGUUUCGUUGAAAUCAACGCCAGGUCUUUGCGUAAAACCUUGUGCCACUAGCUACCAGGAGGUGUUGGCAUUACAGCCGAAAACACUUUCCUUUUAUAAAGCGAGGCAAUCUCUGUUUGAAUUGCUAUCUUCCAAUUAUCCCAAUCUGAGCGCUUUUUGCACUCAGCAUGGACUUGGGAUCUGUAUCAGUUUGGAUGAUAUUUGUAAUUUCUUCAGAGAAAUAAAUGUCGACAAUUAUGGACUUACGAUUGUAAGACUCUCCAGUCUCAGCGAAAUUUAUAGAAAUUUCGUCUACCCUUAAAGAUUCAUCAUGAUUUCCCAAGAUGAUGGAUCGAGGGUUUUCAGCUGUUUCAGCCUCAGUAUUUAUGCGCAUAACUGAGUUAGUUGAUGGACAAUAUGUGUCCUUUGGGUGUCUUUGCUUGUCAAUAAUCAGAUCCUGUUUCUUGGAAGUGCUUCUCCCCCUCUUUUUACCAAAUUGGGGUUGAGUGGUUUUAUUAGGUACCUCCACUCGUUCAGGCACAUUCCUUGCAGGAUGUAGAGACUUUGUGACACCUUUAUGAUCAAUGAAAGCGUCUGGCAGAUUGUUUGCAAUAUUUUGCAAAUCAAUGAUUCUUUGAACUUAUUGUUCAGUUUCCGUAGUACGUGGAUCAGUAAAUGAGAUGCCUUUAGCAUCCCAAUCUAUUUCCUGGCAUUCUUUUUGGUACAAUUCUCCCCCUAAUGCCGGGAAAUGAUCCUCAUUAAAAAUACUAUCAGCGAACCGGGCAGUAAAUAGAUCCCCUGUAAGAGGCUCUAAAUACUUAAUAAUUGACGGAGAUGAGUAUCCAAUAUAGAUACCCAAUUUCCUGUGAGGGCCCAUUGAUGUUCGUUGAGGUGGUGAGAUGGGUACGUAUACAGCGCACCCAAAUUUACGCAAAUGGGAAAUACUCGGAGGAUUCCCACGUACUAAUUGUAAAGGGGAUGUUUCGUGAUAUGCAGUUGGUCGUAGUUGGAUUAGGUCUGCAGCGUGCAGGACUGCAUGACACCAACAUGACGUAGGCAAUUUGCAAUUCAUUAACAAUGGUCGUGCAAUGAGCUUGAUUCUUUUAAUCAACGAUUCAGUCAAACCAUUUUAAGUAUGGACGUAAGGUACAGAGUGCUGAACCUGAAUUCCCAAUGCCAUGCAAUAAUCAUUGAAAGCACGGGAUGAGAAUUCAGCAGCAUUGUCCAUUUGGAUUGAUUGAAUCCGAUGUUCAGGAUAAUGAGCUUUCAACUUAAUAAGUUGAGCCAUUAUUUUAGCAAAUGCAUGGUUGCGUGUCGAUAAAAGACACACGUAAGACCAUCUAGUGGAUGCGUCUAUUAAAACCAUGAAGUACCUGAACGGCCCCGAUGAUGGUUGAAUCGGACCAUAAAUAUCUCCUUGAAUUCGUUCAAGGAAUUUAAGUGGUUCAGCUCGUAUUUUAAGAUGUGAUGGUCUUAAAAUUAAUUUCCCCGUAGCACAAGCAGUGCAGCAAAAAUCUUUAUUUUGGGGAAAUCUUGCUUUUUCCAUGUCAUGACCAGUAGAAUUGCUAAUAAUUUUCCUCAUCAUCCCAAUACCAGGAUGCCCAAGUCGAUCAUGCCAGUUACGGAAUGUAUCGACAUCUCGGAAAAUUAUUUUGUAAGCAAUAUGUUUUACAGGUUUUAUGUAUGUGAAAUACAAUCCAUGUUGGAGUGAAGAAAUCUUUUCGCAAAUUCGUUUGCCAAAUGCCGUAAGUUUGGUAAAGAGAAGAUAUUCCUCUUCACUGUCUUCAUGUGUUUCCACAUGAAAACCAUUCUUACGGAUGUCUCUAAAACUUAGAAGGGUACGAGUUGAUUCGGGAUACAACAAUGCAUCCUCUAUCGUAAUUUGUGUACCCAUUGGGAGAGUAAUAGUGGCCCGUCCAGAACCAACUAUUAACGCAUCAUUACCAGCAAUAGUCAAGAUGUUCCCUUCUCUUUUCUUAAGAGUUUGGAAAUAUUUAAUUUCUCUAAGUAUAGAGUUUGUGGCCCCUGAGUCCACAAUGCAUAGUUCUUCCUCCAGUGGAUUGAGUUCAUCAGACAUCUAUAUGUAUAGUAAAGAAAAUAAAUACUAUAAAUGAAUCAUACAAGUAUAUAAUAAUAAUAUAUUGAAUAUCAAGUAUGAUAUAUUACAAUAUGAGUAACUUGUUACAAACUUGAUAUAACAAAACAAGUAUGUAUAAAAUACAAGCACACAAAAUAAAGGUAUGACUUAGACUAAUUACAACGCUCUAUAUAUAUAUAUUAUGAUAUCAAGGUUCAGAUUAUGAGAUUAUUCUAAAUCUCCAAACAUGUCUCCAGAUUCAAAAUCUAUGAGCAUGUUGUCUGUUGAUGGCAUUUUCUCUUCAAUAUUGAGAGAUUCACUACGGGUUUGUUUCUUAGGGGCUAUCUUGGAACAACUCGCUUCCUUGUUAGCCUCAGUUGCAAGAUUGAAGUGUGCUUCAUAUUUCUUAUCUCCUGCAGGCUUAGCCUCUUUUAAGGACUUUUGGUACAAAGCAACUAAAUGCUUUGGAGUACGGCAAUUCUUGGCAAAAUGCGAAAAAUCUCCGCAUCUGUGACACUUGUUGUCAUUUUUGGGAGUUUUUGCAUUGUCCUUGUUCUUCUUAUUAUGAUUAAACCUUUGCUUUUUGUUGAAUUUGCGUUUACCAAAUUUGUUCUUCGGAAAUUUUCCUUUAAACUUAUUCUUGGGCUUUUCCUGUACAUUGUGAACCUCAGGUAAAGGCGCCGAACCAACAGGGCGCUUAUGAUGAUUCUUCAAAAGGAGUUCAUCAUGUUUUUCUGCCUGAGUUAAUGUAUGGAUAAGCUGAGAAUAUGCUUGGUAAUUAUGAGCCCUGUAUUGCUGUUGCAAAACUCUAUCAGAUGGGAGCAUGGUAGAGAGUGUUUUCUCUAUCUUGUCUUUAUCUGAUGGCUCUUUUUCGUAAAAUUUCAACUUAGAGCAAAUCCUAUGAACAGCGUGGUUAAAGUCUGCCACAGAUUUGAAAUCUUGGAGACGUAAGUGAUUCCAUUCAUGAUUGGCUUCUGGCCAAAUGAGUUCUUUUUGCUGUUCAUAUCGUUCUUUAAGAGCGUCCCAUAAUUCUUUGGGACUCUCAAUCAUAAGGUAUUCAGAUUUUAAAUCCUUAUGAAUAUAAAACCGUAGUAAAGCCAAAGCUUGAUAAAUUUGCUUUUCUUGCAGGGCAUCCCCAUUUUGGGGGUCCUGUAUUGUUGCCAAAAGACUACGAGAUGCAAGUGCUAUCUUGAUAUCAGAAGCCCAUGUAGGAUAAUUCUCUCCGUGUAAAGAGAGUUCCUCAAAUUCCCUAGUGGAAGUCAUAAUCCUACAUGUGCAUUUGCAACCAUGGAUUAAUUAAUUUACCCUAUGGUAAAUUUAAAAACAACAUGGUAGAGUUGUAAUUCUGAAUGCAAUAUAUUUUAUGAUUUAUAUCUUAUCUUAGUGUUGGAUUUGUUGUGAUUAGUCACGAGAUUGUGUAGACCAUACAACCAAAUCACCAUUAAUUUUGAUAAACACAAGUGAGAUAGUCUCUAUGUCAUAGACAAAGAGUAGAUCUUAAUAGUAGGCAAUUUAGAUUGCUGCCUAAGCACGGUCUCAAGGCAAGAUAAUUCAUAAAGAAUUAAAUGCAGCCUUUGCUUAGGACUCUACUACCUUGUGUAUAAUCAAAAUAGUAUGAUGAUAUAACAAUCCAAUACCUUUAUUUUGGAUAAAACACAAUGUAGGUAAUCAUCAAAUUUCAAAGAAAAUGAUGUAGACCUCUCAGUAAUAGGUGAUUAAAUCACUGCUAUGGCACGGUCUCUAGGCAGAAUAAUUCAUGAAGAAUUAAGCGCAGCCUUUGCCAUAGACUCUAUUACCUUGUGUAUAUUUAACCAAAAUAAUCAAGAUAUGUAUAUUGCAAUUUUUAAUCUUAUGGUAAUCUAGAAAUAAUUCUGAUUAUAAAGAUGUCAUAGUUAAAUUGUAGCUAAGUCAAAUAGCAAUUUAAUUUGUAUGUGGUGCAAAAUUUGUGGUUUGGGGCACCAACAUACCCUAUUUCUAUUAUAAAAUUCCAAUUGUAACUUUAUGUUAGUGCAAAACAGGGGGUUUUGGGUGCACUAACAGAUCACCAAAAUUAUUAUCAAAGUCACAAAUAUAAUAUAUGUGGUGCAAAUGGGUUUGUGUGCACCACAUAUAUCAAAAAUAUAAUAGAAAAGCCAUUGCAUCACAAUAUAAUCAAGCCACAAAUUAAUAUACAAUGAUAAUAUCCAGCAGUACAAGCAGGAACAUACAACAUAAAUAAUCUGAUGUUCUGCAGAGGAUAAACUAAAUAAAGCAUAGGCUAAAACAGUUUAUCCAUUUAUUUAUUUACUACUACUGCUGAAAGAAAUAAGAAAGAAUACGAAAAAGAAAAAGGGGCCCAGGCGGCCAGCCAGGCCCGCGGCCCCGCCAGCCGGCCAGGCGCGCGGCCCAGCCAGGCCAGGGCGCGGCCCAGCCAAGGCCAUCCAGGCCUGCAGCCGUAUAUAAGGAGGGGAGCGGUUAGGGUUUGGGAAACCCUAACCGCCCACCCGCCCCAGCCCGCCGCCGCCUGCCUCUGACCGCCGCCGCCGGCGCGCCGCCGCACUGCCGCCGCCGUCGAGACGCCUCGUCCGCCUCCCCCUGUGCCUUCUCCUCCCCCUUUUGCUCCUCUCAUGGCGGGUUUGGGCCCUUGCUCGAUUUCGGCCAUGGAGGUCGGCCGGCAGUGGGGUCCGCCCGUCCCCGGCGAGCUCCGGCCAUGGAGGCCGAUGCUGCUAGCCGGGAGCGGCGGGAUCCCCCCCGCCGGCCCCACCGUGGUGCAUCAAGGGCGGCGGGUCGCCUCCCCCUUCACCGAGGAGGAGACAAACCCAGCCCCGAGUUUGUCGGCGGGCGGAAGGGCGUCACGGCCCCGGGCGGAGGUCGCGGCCACGACGUCGGCGUACGAGCGGCCGCGAGUUGGUGGAGGUGCGAUCGGGGAGAGCGCCGUUGGACGGGUUGGAGGAGGCGGUGGGGUGAUGUCGAAGUCGUAGGCGAAUCCCGGCGGCCAAGCCGGUAUGUCGACGUCUCGGCGUGCGGCCGCCAGGCCACCACCUCCGUUCCAUGGGCGAAGGAGUGCGGACGACGUCGGGAGCAGCGCCGUAGGAGUCGGCGCCGGCAACGGGGACGGCUUCGGCAACGACGACGGCUUCGGCGAGGCCACCGGUGUUGCCCCAACCCGGCGGACGAAGGUGGUCGGGCCGUGGCGGGGGCAAACACCAGUGGUGUACUGUAUCCGCGAUGAACGCGGUGCUUGCCGUGGCGUCGAAGGUCGGCCACCGGCAUUCGGUCCGGUGGCGAGGCGGCGGUGAAGGGCGAUGCGGUGCUGGCCAAUGUCCUUGAGGACUCGGCGGAUGGCGCCCUGGAGGAUGAACCUGCGGACUCCUCCAGGGUGGCUGUUGCCACGGGCGAUGGCGGCCUCCACGGCGUCGGUGACCGCGUCAACCAUGGCGUUCAUGGAAGGGAGUGGAGGAGUCGUCAUCUUCUACCUCUCCGGUGAAUCUCCGGUGGAACUCCGGCGAACUCCUUUCUCUCUGGCUUACUUGCGUCAGCGGUUGUUGGCAGAGCGUGCGUGCGUGAUAACGUGUUUAGCGAAAGUGAAAAGUGAUGGAUGUAAUGAUUGUCUAUUAUCAGUGAACAGUGAUUUUACAUAUAUAUACAAGAGGCAGUUAUUUGUGUCAGUGACACAAGAACAGUGCCUUGGCGCCCACGGGGCCUAAAACGAUGCGGCGACGGUUCGGUCAUUAGCACGUGUCUAAUGACAGGAAUAUACUAAUUGAUCAUUUAAUUAAUUAUUCUAAUUAAUCCUAACAAUGUAUACGUACAUGAUUGGAAUCCAGUGGAAUUGAAAACGGAAUAACGCGACGCUGCUUCACUCCGGUACGAGGAACGGAACAGUAGUCGUGCAUGUGAGUAGACGCGAUCCGGUAGUCACCACCCCCAACAACUGCUUCGAGCUGUGCAAAUUCGCGUCCGCUUCCAAACUCCAUCGCGCUUCAUGAACGGUGUUAGAGUAUUGUCAAGGCAACGUGGGGAGAGAAAAAAAAAAUCUUUGCGUAGAAGAGACCGCGACCGGCCCGGACGUGUACACGCAACGCCGUGCGGCUGCGACCUGCGACCGUGCGGCUGCGGGUGCCGCCCGCACGGCCGCACCGCGCAGCGCACCGCGCGUACGCCCCCGUGACCAGAGAGUCUCGGCCGUGCGCGCCCCUCCUCGUACGCCCGCCCGCCCGCCCCGACCGCGCCGCGCACCGCACCACCUCUCUCCCCUCCCUCGCCUACUAUGAUGACGGCACAGAGACACGAGCGCAGGCCGUUCGCGUCUCCAGGCCUUUAAACGCCACGACGCGACGCCAGGCCAGGCCGGGACGCGAGCGAGCGAGCGAGCGAGCGGCGCGGCAGCCGAAGCAACGCAAAAACGACACCAACGGGUGGAUUUUUAAGUCCGCUUCCCUUCGCCUUCCCCGUCUCCUCUCCCCGUGCCCUCCCCAUCCUUUUUUUUUACCCGCCCGCCCGCCAGCCGCCGUUUCGGUUGCUCGGCUGGGGGAGCACCAGCGCUCGAAGUCUAUGGCGGCGUCGGCGAGGGCGUGCUUGGUUGCGCUGGCGCUGGUGGCCGCGCUCAUCCUCGACGGACCAGCGGCAGCGGCGGCGGAGGAGGGGAAUGCCGGAGGCCGCGGGUCGCUGACGCUGAGGCAGCGCCGCCGGCAGCUGCUACGGCAGCGGCAGGUGCGCAGCCACCUCAAGCGCCUCAACAAGGCGCCGCUCGCUACCAUUCAGGUACUGCUGCGUGCCCGCCCCCGCCUUACCCGUCCGUCUCCUCCCACCGCACCGGCGACGGCGAGCGUACGCCUCGUUCCAUUUCCAUCCAUCCAUGCGUUUCGCAUUCCCCUCGUCAGCGGCUUCGUUUUCUUCGGGUCAUUGUUGUGGGGGCAGUGGGAGUGAAUCCAAGUGAAUCGAUUCCAUGGGUGGAGUGGGAAAAAAAAAGCCAAGGUCCUGCAUUUGGCAUGGAAGUAGGAGCCCCUUUCGAGGCAGCAGGGUUCUUGUUUGUGCCUGCGCGCCUGCCGCGGCGCUUGGUCCACUUCGUCGCUUCGCUUUGGAAGAGUUGAAUGGCUGUUCCUCGUGGACCAUCUCCUCGCUUUCCUUCCGUCGCGGGAGGAGAAAGUCUCGCUUUUGGACAAAUUUUAUGGGUGCCCGUGCUUCCUUUGCUUCAUUGAACUCGAAGCUAGAGACGCUUGCUUUUGCUCGCUUUUCUUUCAUCUUUGGAGAACUAUCAUAGUCUUUUCUUUCCUGAUGAACCAUUGUUCGUAUGUAUGCAGAAGCAUUGUAUGCUUAUUAGUUUGGUUAAUACUCUCAUCUUUGGAGUAUUUUUUUUUUCAAUGUAGCAUUGGUUGAAGAUGGAAUGUCUUCACUUUUUUUUCUCUCUUUUCUCUGCAAAUGAGAAAAUCUGACAUGUACAUAAAAAAGAUUCAGAGAAAAUCUUACAUGUUCAGGAAAAAAAAAGAGUUUGGCACGAAAAAAGUUUAGCGCAAUCUUUUUUUCCCCGCAUUUUUGCAACUGGUACUAAUUAUGAGAUAUCAUCUUAACAGAGUCCAGAUGGAGACAUCAUAGACUGCGUGCAUAUCUCCAAGCAGCCUGCCUUGGAUCACCCCUUCCUUAAGAACCACACCAUCCAGGUUCCUCUCUCUGCAGCGCCAUUGCUCUUUCCCAUUUCGCUUUCUGCAGCAGUGUUUCUACCCCACACAUCACUACAGCAGCACUAAUUAAAACAUGCUCUAUCAUCACAUUACCUUUGCAGAUGCGGCCUGCAUACCACCCGGAAGGUCUGUAUGAUGAGUCCAAGGUUGCAUCGCAGCAGAACGCCCAAACAAUCACCCAAAUGUGGCAUCAGAAUGGCAGGUGCCCCGAGAACACGAUACCGAUCAGGAGGACCAAGGAGGAGGACGUCCUGAGGGCCAGCUCCGUCAGGAGGUAUGGCAAGAAGAAGGGCAAGACUACCGCGAACCCCAUGUCGGUUGACCCUGACAUGCUCAACGAGAGCGGCCACCAGGUUAGUGCAGAUUGUUUCAUCCAGUAACCUUAAUAGCAGUACUGAUUGAUAUUCUUGUUCCUGAACUGUGGUUAUCUCUGAAACUGCUCAUUUAACCUUGUUCCAUCUUACCUCCCAUGGAGCAGCAUGCCAUAGCAUAUGUGGAGGGCGAUAAGUACUAUGGCGCCAAGGCUACCAUCAAUGUGUGGCAACCGAAGAUCGAGCAGGCUAAUGAGUUCAGCCUGUCCCAGCUCUGGAUCUUGGGGGGCUCCUUCGGACAGGACCUCAACAGCAUCGAAGCAGGAUGGCAGGUGAGGGAGAAAGAGAAACCCACUUCAUGAAAAGUUCUAUUAAAUGCUGCCUUGCAGUUUCCAUUUCUGUUCUUCAUCUUCUUCCAUGGGCUCAAUAAUUUCUCCUCUGCACGCGUUAAUAAUUUCUCUCUUGUGUGCUGCAAUAAUGAUAUGAGAACUGCUGAUGAAAGAGCUAUUAAAUGAGUAGGAGCUAGAAUAGAUUCUGCAUCGACACAGAUGUUCUCUUUCAUGAGCUGUACUAGGCUACUAGCAAUAUGUGGUGUUUAGGAGCUAAGCAUGCUCUAAUGGUGGAGUGAAAUGUGCCAUCACUUUCAUUGUGGUUAAUGGCUCUGUGCUCUCCACGAAAUUGCAGGUUAGCCCAGACCUGUAUGGAGACAACAACACUAGGCUCUUCACCUACUGGACUGUAAGAUAAACAUCACAUUCUUUUCAAUCUUCAUGAACAAUUAUUUUUAGUUUAUCUUUGUCCUCUGCCUAGAUCUACAUCCCUAUCUUAUGAUUCUCAAAUUGGGGGAUGGCCUAAUGAUACUGAUUUUGUAUUGCUUUGGAUACUACAGAGCGAUGCGUAUCAAGCAACAGGAUGCUACAACCUGCUGUGCUCGGGGUUCAUCCAGAUAAGCAAUCAGAUCGCCAUGGGCGCCAGCAUCUUCCCUAUCUCCAACUAUGGUGGUUCCCAAUAUGACAUCAACAUUUUGGUCUGGAAGGUAAAUUCCAAAAAGCUCUCACAUGCCGAGCAUACUACAAAUCAAAUUCAUGAAUGGACCCGGAGAGAAUCCGUGGUGCCCACCUGUCUCUUGUUCUUUCUGAAGGCGCCUUCAGGCUUGAGUCAAGGCUACAACUGUGGUUCUGGCCCUGUUUGUGGACACACUCGCAGUAGAGUGACAGUUGGCCCACGCACGAACCAGAUUUGUCUGCAAACGCGACCACUGAUAAUGAUUGCCUUUUUUAACAAUUUUCCACAAGAAUAUUCACCUCGGGCUAAUGUUUCUUCUGUUAGAAAAUCUUACCCUUUCCUGCCAGCAGAUGUUUCAAAUCUGGCUCUUUCCAUAAGCAAUUGUGUAAUGGCAUUGCCAUGUGCCAUUAUCUUGUUUUUCCAUGGAUUUCUGAAAUUUCGUUAAAAGAUGAGAUGAUGUGCAGGUCAUUAUCCUCAAAGGCAAUUUACCUUUCCAUAGUGCAUAUGAGAACACAAACUUUCUUCUGCGCAUGCAUGAUAGUAGCACUAAAAAGGACCCUACCAUAAUAAUACUUCCUGAUCAUCAUGAAUCUAUCACAUAAAUUCAACACCCAAAAAUUGUGGUUUUGCGCAGGACCCAAAGGAGGGCAACUGGUGGUUGCAGUUCGGGAACGACUAUGUUCUGGGCUACUGGCCGUCCUUCCUCUUCUCCUACCUGGCCGACAGCGCCUCCAUGAUCGAGUGGGGCGGCGAGGUGGUGAACUCAGAGCCCGACGGCAGUCACACCACCACACAGAUGGGCAGCGGACACUUUCCGGAGGAAGGGUUCGGCAAGGCCAGCUACUUCAGAAACAUCCAAGUGGUGGACUCGACCAACAACCUCAAGGCGCCAAAGGGCGUGGGAACCUUCACCGAGCAAUCCAAUUGCUACGACGUGCAGAACGGCAACAAUGGUGACUGGGGCACCUACUUCUACUAUGGCGGCCCCGGGAAGAACUCUAACUGUCCAUAGUGAAGAUUGAAACCGCCUAUCAGGAGCCCUAACACCCUCUUUGACACCUCUGUAUUACCAUCCAGUAAAUUAGUUUAUACUACCUCAUUUUCUUCAUUUUUUCUCUCUUGGUUUUGGUUUUGUUUUACUCUUUACCUCUACCCCUAGUUUAUUAACUUCUAGGUGAGUGAGCGUGUGUUGACAUGCAUGUGAGAUUGUUCUCUCUGCCUCAGAGAGAGAGAGAGAGAUGUUGGUCGUCUGGUUCGUUCUAGGGAGGAGGAAAGGACUGUGGUCAAGUUCAGUAAAAAAAAAGGACUGUGGUCAAGUUUCUGAAGAGAAACAGGCCUGUUGGUUUGGUUGUGCCUAGUGUCUGUCAAAUAGUUUUGUUUCCUUCACCCCAUACCUUCGACCCUGUCAAGUUGAAUCGGAUUUGUUAAUUGUUGGUGACUGUGAGCCUCGCUAAUCCUUGUACCGCCGGGUGUGUUUUCUAUUCUGAAAAGUGGGUAAUCGAGUGCUUAGCUGUUGGAAGAUGUGCAAAGAUGCCAACUUUUCGUGUGCCGAGUUUGGUGGCCACUGAGUCACCUGGAAAAGUGUAGUGUGGGUGAUUAUUUACAAAUGUAUAUGGGUGAGUAUUUUUCUUAUUAUUAUAGCAGCGUGUGGAGGUGAUGCUACUGCUGUAGGCUGGUGGAGUUCACAUUGCAAGCAACAACGCGUGCACCAUUGCUUCAACGAAAUGGUGAGUGGCAUACAGGUUGCUGGGGCUUGCUGCUGAUUGGAACAGCUACUGCUAAUGCAGCAUGUGUGAAGUGCCUAACUUUUGACGUUUUGGUGGUGGUUUUGGAUUAGGCCCUGUUUAGUUUUCCACCCAAAAUUUUUUCAUCUAUCCCAUCUAAUUUUUGAACACAUGCAUGAAACAUUAAAUAUACAUAAAAAAUAAACUAAUUAUACAGUUUGGUUGAAAAUCGCGAGACGAAUCUUUUAAGCCUAGUUACUCCAUGAUUAGCCUUAAGUGCUACAGUAACCCACACGUGCUAAUGACAGAUUAAUUAUACUUAAUAGAUUUGUCUUGCAGUUUCCUGGCGAGCUAUGUAAUUUGUUUUUUUAUUAGUUUCUAAAAACUCCUACCGACAUCCUUCCGACACAUCCGAUGUGACACCCAAAAAAUUUUCAUCUCUAAUCUAAAUAGAGCGGUGACCCAUGGUCUGAUUGAGACGUGUAUCUCUACUGCUGCUUUUGGUAGUGGCAUCCAGUGAUCAACUCCCCUCGCUAUCUAUCGCUAGUCAACCAUAUUGUUUUCAGUGGAACAUUCCGUGUGCUAGACUAGAAUGUGCUGGAACCAGCGAUGAACGAGUGUUUGGUCAGUUGGUCAUCACUGAUGACCACUAUUUGGUGGUGUACAAACAUUCUCCUGAAAAAAAAAAAAGUUUAGAGCAGGCCCAGUCUUUUCAAGCACAGAUUAAGAAAACUUUUGCAAGUAGUACUAGUGCAAAAGCAAGCAUAUGUAGGCUUUUCUCUAUUCCCUUCUUUUCACCACCACACUCCGUCUGAUCCGAAUCCUUCCAUCAAUCUAGCUCAGCUCGCCGGCAGGAGUGGUCACUAGUAGCUGGUCAGUUGGAACGUCGUCGGUACAUGCCCGCGGCUCACGGGCACGCACCAAACUCUCACGUCUCACCAAAGAGCUCCUGCCUGCCUGCACUUCACAUGGGAAACAGGACGUCCCUGCUUCCUUUUGGUUGGAUUCGACGUGGAAAUAAUUACACCAGCAAAAUCCAGGACGUGCAUCAGUGCGUGAGUGCAUGGCAUGCAUGGAAUCAUGGCUGCUGCCAUAGCUCCCACGCUGCAGCGCCAGGCCUCUGCUCUGUGCCUCUGCCUCCUCACUGAGUCGCUGGUCGCUGCAUGCAAGCCGCCUGCCUCUCUCGCUUGUUGCUGAAUCUGACGACCGCUAGAGAGGCAGCAAAGGAUCGAAUCAGCAAAGGAUGCAUGGGCGCAUGGGGAGAUGAUGGAUGGAUGGGGAGGCCAUGACACAGUUGACAGCUUUCACGGUCCAUGUUCUUGCCCGGCGGACAGACGCCCCGGCGGUUUGCUUCACUGCCGGCCUUGUUUGCGAGCCCCUAUUUCUACAUCCAGAUCGAUCACCACACGUAUGCGUGUGAUGGAUGGUUGUUGUGCCUUUUCCUCGCAGUAUCCCCACCUACCUAUACCUGUUCUACCAUGAAUACAGUUACGCACGCUCUUUGUUUCGUUGUGCCCUUUGAAGGUAGCUGUACUGUACUUAGGUUAAAAAAACUGUACUGUACUUUGCUGCAGAGACCUGAACGUAGAGAUCAUGAGUCUCACGUUUAUUACGUAGGGUUUUCUACUACGAAAUGGAAGUUUGAAUAGCUUAUGGAACAGCAAAAGACAUCGCGCAUUCUGAUGAUCUUUUGAACGCAAGCAUUCUGAUGAUCUGAUCUCUGAACUCCGUACGAUGGUCUAUCAUCAUAUGCGACACCAGCAGCAUGGCGUACUGUCCUCCGGCCUGGAACGGUGUUACUGAAUGUUACCCUUCUGCUCCCCUUUUCCCCAGUCCAGCCUCUUUCGUAUCGCCAUUCACCAGAGGCCGGGGAACAGGCUACACGCGCGCGCGGAUUCUCGCAACGCCGAGAAUCCUUGAAAUGCACCGUUAGAAAUUGGGAUUUAUGGCUCGUGGCUACUGGCUGUGGCUUUCAGGAAUCAGGAUUUUAAUUAGGAGUGUUUGCCCUGCAUCGUCAGUCUCCAACCUCGGUCGGGCACGUCGUAGCUGAGACUGUCUUAAAACUUAUCUUUGGGCCUACGGCCCACGCCAUAACCCAAGACAGCCCAAGCUCGAUGCUGCACGCUACCAGCAACGGCCCAAGCUGGAAAAGGCCGGCCUCUGCAACGGAAUACUACAUGAGAAACAAAUUAAAGGGCAUAAAAAAAAACAAAAUGACCAAUGGACCUCAUAGACCUGGAUCAUUAAAGUAUAAAGUAGUUCCCACAUAGACCUUAUAGACCGCGAUCAUAGACGUCCAUUGCACACUCCUAACUAAUGAUCGCUUGAAUGAUCUCCUAAUCACACAUAUAUACAUGCAAUUUGCAAACUAUUCAAACCACUGCUACUACUACUUUCCAAAAAGUCCACUGCUGAAAAAGAAAACUCUCCAAAUUAAGCUUUAUGCCCGAUAGAUCGAUCAAGUCCUCCUUGGCACGAGGCGCGGGCGCAGCGGCUUCUUCAUGACGGUGGUGAACUCGCUCUUCUCCCCGAACUCCACCUCGUGGCCGGGCGCCUCUCUCCACUCGAACUCCCUCACCAUGUUGGCAACGAAGAACUCGAGGUGCAGCAUGGCGAUGGACAGCCCGGCGCAGAUCCUCCGCCCCACGCCGAACGGCAUCAUCCUGAUCCCCUUGGUGCCCGUCAUGUCCACGCCCACGCCGUCGCCGCCCUCCAGGAACCGCUCCGGGACGAACUCCAUCGGCCUCUCCCACUCCUGCUCGUCCCGGCCCAUCUCGGCCACCAUGAAGUUCACCGUCGCGCCCUUGGGGAUCAGGUACCCGCCGACGUCCAUGUCCUCGGCGGCCUUGUGCGGAAGCACGAAGUGGCCCGGCGGGUGCUUGCGCAGGCCCUCCAGGAUCACCGCCUUAAGGUACGGCAUCCCGUGCACGGCCUCCUCCGAGACCGCCUCGUCGUCGUCGCCGCACGUGGCCUUGAUCUCCGCGUGCAGCCGGUCUUGCACGGCCGGGUUCUUCACAAGCUCGGCCAUGAUCCACUGCAGGCCCGUGGAGGUGGUGUCGGUGCCGGCGGUGAGGAACUCGGAGCAGAGCGUGACGAUCUCGUCGUCGGUGAGCGCGCGGUGGCCUUCCUCCGCGGGGAGCGUGAUGUCGAGCAGGGUGUCCACGUACGAGUGCUGGAACGUGGUCUCCCUCGCCGGCGCCUGGCCGGCCUUGGCCUGCCGCUUGUACUCGCGGCGAGCGUUGAUGAGCGGCACGAAGAGCUCCGCCUGGCGCCGGCGCAGGGCGCGCGCGGUCUGCAGGCGGCCGCGGAAGACGUGCCUGGUGACGGACGGGAAGAAGAAGAAGACGCUCAUCUGCUGGGAGAUGUAGAGCAGCCACGUGCGCUCGGCGUCCUCGAUGGCGCGCACCGCGGGCUCGUCCAGCCGCUCGCCGAAGCACAUGAGCACGAGGAGGCAGAACAUGGUGUAGCGGAACGCCUCCAUGACGUCGCCGGCACCACUUCCCGCCCGCAGCUUGUCCAUGAGGACGCCGCGCACCCAGGCGCGCGCGGGCGCGAACAGCCUGACGCGCGACGGGUGCAGCGUCUCGGCGACGAGGUUGCGGCGCAGGAGGCGCCACACGGGCCCGUAGUCGGCGCGGGUGAUGAUGUUGUCGCUGACGCCCAGGAGCGAGCUCGUGGCGGCCUGCGGACGGUUCGCCAUCGUGACGGCGCCGGCGCCCACGAGCGCGGCGUGCGCGAGGCGGCGGUCCGCCACGAAGAUGGCGAGCCGGGAGCCCAUCCGGAGCGUCACGACGGGGCCGUACCGCUUGAAGAGCUUCCGCAGCAGGGGCUCCACGUCCGCCGCGGAGUUCCUCAGCCACAGAAGGUUGCCGAACAGCGGCACGGCCGGGGGACCCGGCGGCAGGCGGCGGUUCUUGGCGUGGCGGCGCAGGACGAGGAGCGAGGAGAGCAGGAGGCCGCCCGCGAGGACGAGCCAGCUGAUCUCCAUGGGGAAGUGUCGUGUGUUUUGCGACGAAACUAUGUUCGCGUUGAUGUUUAUCGUAUGAUGAUGAUGAGGAGAUUAGACGAACGGGAUUCCAGAUUAAUUUUAUAGUGGGGUUUCGUACGUGGAGUCCCGAGUCCGUACAACAUGGCGAGUUCGAUAUGGUUUCGACCUGGUUUCAUGUUGGGAUAAGGUCUGAUUCUGAAACGUGGUUUACUAGCUAGAGACACGGUAGCAACGGGCAAGGCCUAUGGUCUGUCCGUGUUGAACACGUUCAGGCGAGUUCGUCCGGGACACGGUAGCAACGGCCAAGGCCAUCUAUCAUCUGUCCUUGUUGCACACGUGCAGGCGAGUGUAUGGUGGUUGGGAAGUUGUUUUGGGACCUAUAGAUCGGGAGGUUUUACUCCUCACUUUCAAAAGGAAAGGUCACUGAUGUGCCAUUAAAUACUAGUACUAGUAGUCAAUCAUCAUUCUUUUACAAUAAAUUAUUAUAAGGGCAGUCCCAAUAAAAGAAACCAAGUAGUUUCUAUAGUUUAGAAUACCGUAUCAAGAAACUACUCUUUCCCAAUCCAUGAUUUCUAUAGCAGUGCUAAUACAAAGAAUGAAUUAAAUGCAACAUUUAGAAGAAGCAGAUCAACUGUGGCAGAGAACCACGCAGCCUACAAACAUCGCUUCGACUGACGGCCUGACGAAGGGACGGGUAGCAGCGGCGCAAGCGCAAGGGAUCCUGGGAUGAGCAAGAAGAAACGACUUGGGUCUCCCCAAUGCAGAUUCGCCAGUUUCUUAGCCCAUCGGUGCGUGUGAAGACUCGGUUUCCUCUCCAGGAAACGGUUUCUUUCUUUUCCCUUCUCUCUCCGUAAUAAAUCUACUGCCACAUCAGCAAAUUCCUUAGUUGGCACAACAAUUAAUAGAGAUAGAAACUACAAUAAAUAUACCAUUGGGACUGCCCUAACCAGCACAAGCUAAAUUUGAGCGAAACUAUCUCACACCAUACAACUCUCCAUGGUUCGUCAAUUCCAUUCUCCCACGUGUGACUCAACUCCUCUCAGACUCGAGGAGGGAGUAAUAAGGGCAGUCCCAAUGAUGUAUUUAUGAUAGUUUCUAUCUCUAUUAAUUAUCCUGCCAACUAAGCAAAUUGCUGAUGUGGCAGUAGAUUUAAUACAGAGAGAGAAGAGGAAACCAAGAAACCGUUUCCUUGAUAGGAAACGAAGUCUUCUCAGGUACCGAUGCGUGAGGAACGACGCAAACCGCGUUGGAAAGAAACUGAUCGUUUCCUUCCUUAAUGGCCUGGAUCUCAUGCUCCAGUUGCGUGCGCUCGCUGAAAGCCCUCGUUCGCAUCCUGCUGCUACUUCUCCUUGCGCAGCUCUCGUUGAUGGCCCUCGUAAGUUCCACGUAUGGAACCAUCCACCUCCUUUGCCUUCGCCUCCUACGCCAGCGGUGGAGCCAGCCUCACAGGAGCCCGAGGCGGCAGGCGCCCUGCCGGCAAGGGCCUCGGCGCUCGGUUCCGUGCCAUGGUCAGGCGCUUUCACCUAUUUUGUGCGUAUUGUUCAAACCUCUGUCAAGCACUGGAAAAUUGAAAGAAAAGGCAACUGCACAGAGGAUCCACAGAUGGGAGAGAGGAACACGUUCGAUGAUUGAGAAAAAUUUAUAUCUAGACUCUAGUAACAAAUUUUGCAUUGGAGAGAAUAGUUUCUUGGUACAUUAUCCUAGACUAUAGAAACUGCUAUGAUUUCUUCCAUUGGGACUGCUCUAAGUAGAUCAAGGUCUAAUAUUAAUAUCAAUAUCUAUAUCAAAUAUCAAGGAGACAAAUUUAUUUCCAUUCAUUUUCUUCAUCCACCUUCCCCUAACUACCGAAACAGUAGAGGUUGUCUCAUAUUUCACAUGUGACCUGGACUCAUCACCGAUACUCAUACGGGUUAGGACAACUCGCGUCUAGUGAUAAUGAAUAUAGAGUCCGAUUCUAAUACGUGUCACACCCUCAUAUCUUUUAUGUGACCUAAACUCAUGAUGUGUGUUUAUUCAUAUGUGUUGGAAUAACUUGCAUCUAGUGACAAUACAGAGUUGUAUUUCUAUGGGUUUUAUUGCAACGCAUGAGCAUGCUUCGUGAUAAAAGAAUAGAGAAAUAAACUCUUAACAGUAUACCUUUAGAGAGAGUGAUUCCACCGUCAAACUAUUGUAAUGUUGUGAAUUUGAUGCACAAGUCAUCCUGUUAAAACAUAAGCUGGCAGUGUAAGCACUGGUUUAUUUUUAGCUUUAACAUCUUUCUAUUCUAGCAUUCCAAACACCAAUUCCAAUGAACUGCCUUCCAUUCCUCUAUUUUCGAUUCCUACAUUCCAAAUAGGCCUGGAUUGUGCAAAGAAAGGAAGAGUGUCAUCACAUAAUAUGUGUUUGUAUGCCUUCUCAAUUUGCAUCGUACUUGAAUGAGUGUAAGCAUACUACAUGGAUGUAGUCUGGAUAGAAAAGUGUUUAAUCGAUUGCAUGGUUAAGGGCCUGUUUGGUUGGAGCUGUUAAAGUUUAAUACUGUUGUAUUUUUGUUUUAUUUAGCAAUUAGUGUUCAAUUAUGGACUAAUUAGGCUCAAAAGAUUUGCUUCAUAAAUUAUUCUCUAGUUGUGAUUUUAGUUUCAUAAAUAGUCUAUAUUUAAUACUCUAUGCAUAUGUCUAAACUUUCAAUGUAACGAGAGUUAAAGUUUAACGUGAUGAACUAAACAAAGCCUAAAUAUCUCAUUUUGAGGUUGCAAUGACCCUAAAUGAUGUUUGGUUGUCUACACGUGCGGAUACAGUGAUCCCUACACAUAGGACAGACAUGCAGGCCCAUAAGAUGCAAAACACCCAUUGGGCGUACCUGAUCAGUCGCUAUAUACAUAUAACGACGGCUUCAUUAGCAACUGCAAAUGUUCGUUGUUGUAACCUUUAGCAACUGACUGUCUAUCGCUGUAUACCCCUUUUAACAACUUCAAAUCAGUCGCCGUUUAAAGGUUGUGGUGUAGUAUGAGCGGAGUAGUUUAAUUUGUGUAUAUCACUCAUGAGGUAUGAUACUUUAUUUCUAUCCAUUUAUGCAACCGGUGUAUCCACUCAUACGGGAUGGUGACUUAUUUCCGCAUCCGCUCGUGCACAUUGCGUGUAUCUAGUGCUCCCAUGCUCCCAAUUCGGCGAACUCCUGCCCACCUGGAUUUAAGUCCCUGACUUGACAUGAAUGCUUGUAUUUUCCUAGAUUUAUUCUAGGAUUUAACAGCGCUAUGCUUUCAGUGGUAGACGAUAUGCCCAUCGACAAUGAGACGUCUAUGGUGACUUCAUCAAUCUCAAAAUUUUUGCCGGUCCAACUCGGUUCUUCGGAGGUGCUACGCGCUCUAGGGGUGCGUGUGCGCUCGUGUAUAUAAGCGUCUACGUCUGUAACUGGGUCUCGCAAAAAAAGAAAGACCCAUCAAGCGGGAAAAAACAACGAACAAUAUGCAUAGGUAGAUAUAUAGUUGCAUGAACUUGCAAAAAUUGAGGACGAAUAGAACUUUGGGCAAGGCGCAUGUAUCAUCAACCCACCCAUAUAUACUUUUGGUUAUUUUUUACGGAGAAGCUAUAUACCACACACGGGUUUUGGAACAAUCUAACACUCAAUUUAAAGCAUCAGCCAUCUCCCAUAGUCUGAUUUGGAGCGUCCGCAACACGCUCGCAAGCUAGAGGAGGAAGAUGAAUAGUGCUAACAAAAUCGGGUGUGGUGCAGGGGCCAGAACACCAGAUUGCUAUAUAGACUAGACACACAGUUUUUAUGUAUGUCACAUAUCCACCCAUGCAGGAUGAUCGCAUGCGGGGAAGCAAACAUAUGUCAACGGCUACCAUCAGUUUAGUACCCUUCAUGACUAGCUACCCACUUCGUUUGGCUACAAAUUCUUACUCCUUCGAAAACUUGAUUGCAUAUCAUUCUUGUUCAUUCCAUCUCAUGUUCUCCCUCAUGACGCAACGAUGUUCACAGUGCUACUAGAAAACCAUUGUACAGAGCGCCAACUGCCUGAUCUUGUAGGACAUUCGAAGAAAAACACUCUCUUCUCCCUGUGCAGGAAGAAAAACUCUAUUUCUGCUGUUGCAGCUUCCCAACUGAGUGCAGGUACACAGAGAUAGAAACGACCCUGAAAAUCAAUAAGACACAAGAGCUUGUUAAAUUAACAUGGAUUACAACCGUAGUCUAGUCAACAGAAGUUGCGACCGUGCUUCCAUGAGCACUUACGUGGAUCCAAGCAAGAACGCAAGAGACAGGUGGAAGCCAAAUAAGAAGACGGAUAUUCCUGCCGUCAGAAGCAUUGCAACUGAUGUUGAGUAAACCUGUGUCACAUGGUGAUAUGAAAAGUUUGUUAGAUGCCUCAGCACGUAGUUAUAUAGACAAUUCAUUAUAUCCAUGGUGAGACAUUUUGGUGAAUCUUAGUGGUGCCUCAAAUAUCAGACGAUUUGAAAUCUAGACACUGGACUGAUGUGUUAUAGUCGUGGAUUCGUGGUGUUGCUUCUACAAUGGACAAAGGGAUCAUAUUAAAAUAGUUUUUUUCAGAAAAAAAGAAAACCUCCUUGUUAUCCAUCAAGCUGUUGUGACGCAAGUUGUGCUGCUACUGGAUCACGAAAUAUGACAUUUUCUGAAGUGGUAACUAAUGUAAUCGUGCACGUAAACCAGAAUAGACAUGUUGACAUAUCGAGAAUAGACAUGGUGACGGCGUGAAGGAUCUUCGGUGGGUUAAAAAAUUGUGAUUAUCUCUAACCCUAACCCUAAUCCAUACCAUGUUACUAACCUUGAGAUUAGAGAAGAUAAAAUACUUCAUUAGUGGAGAAGACAAUAUAUAGAAAGCCUCAUGGGUCUAUAAGAUGGGCCUUUGAUGUAUACUUAACAGAUGCAUCAGUUAUACAUUUGGUGUAAUUUCGAUGAAGAUUGGAACUACAAGUACAGCUAGUGAAGGCUCUAGAAGAGUUACUUAUUUUGCCAUGCAAAAAAGCAAAACAAAAAGGACAUGCUCCAAAUGGGAAACAACAGGAUGACAAACAUUCAGAUGAUAACAACUCCGGCUGUAAGAACAGGCUACAAAAUAACUAAAUUGGAAGCCGGAGUCCCAGUAGGGGCAACAGCCAACAUAGUGAUGUUUGUAGAAAAGAGAGUAAUUAGGUUACUUACAACACAUUCAUUUAACCUUGAAAUAAGCUGCUGAGCUUCAGACCUACACUAUUUGCACUUGCACACACAUGUAACUGAAAAGAUAGUAGCGAGUACCUUGACAAUAUUGUCAGCAUAUUUCAUCACCAUUGAUACAGCAAUUCCACUGCAAAGCAAAUAUAAAUACUCGAUUUGAUUGGGAAGAAAAUAAAAAGGAUGCAGCUAAGCCCAACAGGGCAAUAGUGAAAACAAAAACGAUCUAACUGUCAGUACCUCAGAGCAUGGUUAAGAAUCAUCAAAACUGUAAUAAAUGAGUAGCCAUGGAAAAAGCCUCUGCACCAGAUGGCACAUUCAAAUGGAAUGGUCAAUAUCAUGAAGACAUGAAUGAAGCAAAUAAAAAAUUUUGCACUGACUUGUUCAUGACAGCAUCGAAGUCCUGGACACAAAUUGCAACUAAAUUGAAGAGCAUCCCAAAUAUGUACAGCCAAAAAUUCUGCGCAUUGAUAUUUCUUGAAGGACGUUUCUUGAUGAUAACCUGGAUUAUUAAAAAUAUGAAGGAAUAUAUUACAUUCCUAAAGAAACUCAUUAACAUUUUGUAUCAAAUGUAUUUUCCAAAAAAAACUAUAAUUCAAAUGAAAAGAGGAGCAGUAGUAUGGAUUCACAAACUUCUGUAUAUACUCCUGCAAAACCACUUAGAAGAGCCAUCACCUGCAAAAAAGAGCAUUCAGGUAGUUGUUAAACACUUCCUCUAGCACGUCCAAAAGACGGGAUGAUAUUUUUUCUGCUUCACUCACAAUUGCCAUCGCCCAACCUUGAAUAGGGGUCUGAAGAACGUGAUCUGACCUGGAAAAGGACAGAUAAGAAAAGAAUGAGGGGGAGAAAACGUUGAGCAAACAAUAAAAAGAAUGAGGGGGGAAAACGUGUUUAGCUUACGAGGGACUGAGCUGAGCAGUAGUGCAGCCAGCACAUAAAAGAAUAAAUGCAGCCCACUGAAUUUCACUUAACCUACAUUAGUUCAACCAUCCUAAAUUAAAAAUGGAAAGCAGGUGCUGGGGAAGAAAAUAUUAAAAAAAAUGGAAGGAAUUGUAAGAUUAGAUUAGACUCAGAGAUAGUAGAUUGAUUAUGGGGAACAAGGUGUUACACAUAUAUAGGCAAGGAUGGCCAGGUUCAUAGAAACAGAACCACCGGUUGAUCCUUGUCUAAUAGAUAUCAAUCUAUCUAUCCUAACCAUAUGGGGCGAGGACCAAUAGAGACGCGCAGCAGCUGUACCCUUUAUCUAACAGGAAUGAAGUGGAAAACAAGAGAGGUUUUGUUAUGAUGGCCAGUUAGGAGGGUGGCAAGGUAUUAGAUUCAACAAAUGCACCAAUUUCAGAUGAGUUAGGAUUUGCAUAGUCCAUUAAGCAGCCAGUUUCUCAAGUUAAACACUUCAUUUUUUUUAAGUAAUGGCAGGAGAUCUGCCUUUCAAUUAAGAGGGGUUUAAAAGAGUUUUAUAUGUACAAGCAAAGGAACACGCCCCUCAUGGGCAGGAACAGGAAAGAAUAAAAUGCCCCUAGCCAAAAGCUCUCUUUCUCUGCUCUAUGUCGUCUUUAACUCUCGCCGCUACCUGCCAUACUGUUUCGGCCGUGUUGUUGAAGAUUAUAUGUUCCUUUCUUUCCAGAGGUCCAGAAGGUGUAUAUCACUAUGCCAUUAAACCGCCUGCGCUCUGCUUUAGGCGCUUUCCUUGUGGUCUCCUCCCACCAAGGUGUGAUCUGUAUGGGGUCAGCUUGCUGUUGCCCCAGCAGUCCAUCAAAGUGUUCCCAUGCAAGAAUUUGGUUCCAGACCGCCUUAGCAAAGGGACAACCUAGGCACAAGUGUGCUCCGGUCUCCAGCGGCCCAUUUAGAGGACGCAGUGGUCUUGAUGUGGCCACCCUCUUUUCUGCAAGUUGUCUGCCGUUAGGAGUUUUCCAUGUGUUAGGAUCCAGGCGAAUACCUUGCAUUUAUUUUCCACAUGUGCUUUCCAAAUUUGAUCACAUCGAAAUCUUGUGAAGGAACCUCUGAAUUGGAUCCGGUAUGCUGAGCGAGUGCUGUAAUUGCCAUUCGGUGUCCAUUUCCAAGUGGAGUCUCUAACGCCUUGAUGUAGAUGUACACAUCCCAUCCUGGAUUCUGGUCCAAAGGGAUACGAACUCCUCAAUGUGAGUGGCUGAGGUGAUAUGUCUUCUCAAGGAGUGCAUCCAAUUGUUGUUUCAAUUUGCACCGUCACCUAUACAGUACGGAUUCAAGCCUAAUAUAUGAUGACUAUUUAUUUUACAGAUUGAACUUCAGCACAACUCGCUCAUCACAGAACUAUAAUCUGUGUCUUCCAGCUUUAGCAUACAACAUUGCAUCAAAGAUUUCAAAUGAAAGCGAACAAAAUGACAUAGUGGAUAUCUUGUCACCAGAGAAAACUGACGAAACAGAACAAGGUCAUUAGACUUACCUUUUCUUGAGAAUUAUACGGUACAGGACACCAGUGCUGAUAAUGUUCAAAUUCUUUAGAAUCUGGUAAGCUGGCGCAUCCACAUAUGCAAAGAUAUAAUACUGACAACCACAGAAGCAGGGAAAACAUGGUUAUGUUUUGUUUAUUUUUGUUUUCUUUUUCUUUUAAAAAAAAUCCUACAACAAAGGACUGGGCAACUGGACAUACCUGCAAUAAGUUCUUCACCAGGUAAAGCAUUGCAGGAAUGGGGUAAACUCUAACUUCAUCAAACGAUGUAGUUAACCUGAAAUUAAUAAAACCAAAGGUCUAGAAGGUGGAAGAAAACACGCACCUAAUAUGUUCUAUCGACAACGACAAACAUGGUAAAAUCAUCACCUAUUAUCUUCUGUAACACCUUGACUGUUCCAUGUCCCGUACAAGGCUACAAGUGACAGUAGACAUUUCAAAGCUUCCACCUAGACAUUGAGAAAAGAGAACAAAUAACCACAUCACAAUACUCAAAACUCCUGAAGAUACAGUCACUGAGAGAAUUCAAGCAUUUUGCUCACCGAAAAAUUUGCUGUUGUGAUACUAUAUUCAUACUUUCCAGCUCUUUUCGACCAUACAAUCAAUAUUGCCUGGGAACUUGUUAGCAAUGUCAAUGCCAGUGUAACAACAGACCUGAAAAACACAUUGCCAAUACAACAAACGAUUUUCAGAAAGAAUGAGAUUUAGUAAAAAAUAUUGCAAGAAAGCCUUACUUUAGCUUCCAACUACCCUUGCCCUUCGGCCCUCCUGCAGUGCUAAGACUCGAAGUUGCUGUAUCUGUAAAUGGUAUAGGUAUUAAUGCUAAGAAUCUCCCAUAUACAGCCCAUCCGAAAAAAGAACAUUUGCAUGAUGAAUCAAGAGCUUACUGCUAGAAAGAGAUCUCCUAUCAAAGCUCUCUAUGUCCUUCUGAGAUACGUCAUCACUCUCCUUUUCGACGGGUCAGACAAAAUAAAGACAGCGAUCAGUGCAUGUUCUGUUAUUGAAGUACAAGAUUAUUGUAGGCUAUUUUUAAAAAAAGGAAAGGAACUAAGCUAUUGCCAGCGUUUAACUUUAUGUAUGUAUGACCAAUGACAAACAUCAGCAAGAAAAAAAGUACAGGACAAAUAUAAAUUGAAUUUGGUGUCUAUUUUCACUACACAUAAUAGCGGGCACAAAUUAUGUAUAUUACGAAACAAAAGAUGGGUGUCCAUACUCUUUCGCACGGCCACUUCGAGGGUGCUACUCAAUGGACAGCAUGGACCUACUCUUGAUCAUGCCAGAGGAGUACGACAAGGCGACCCUCUAUCGCCCAUGUUGUUCAUCCUGGCCAUGGACCCCUUGCAGCGUCUUCUCGACCUGGCAACCCAACAUGGGACUCUCUCACCGCUACCCCUGACUGCCACUAGAUGGAGGACCUCUCUAUAUGCAGAUGAUGCGGCCAUCUUUAUAAAUCCGCGAAAAGAAGAUCUAGAGACAGUCAAGGCGAUCCUCCUCGCCUUUGGAAAUUUCUCAGGCCUCCACAUAAAUCUUGAAAAAAGCUCCAUCCACCCAAUUAGAUGCGAGGAGGUCGACCUGGAUCACGUGCUCUCCUCCUUUGCAGGGAUCAGAGGCACCUUCCCUUGCCGUUAUCUGGGUUUGCUGCUCCACACGCGUGCGCUUCGGAAGGUCCAUGUACAGCCCCUAAUCGAACGCAUCGGUCAAAGACUUCCUAGAUGGAAAGGAAGAUGGCUCAACAAAGCUGGCCGCCUCACCUUAGUCUCGUCAGUCCUCUCAUCCAUGCCCACUUACCACCUCACGGUGUUCCCGCUCGCGGCUUGGGCAAGGAAAAAAAUAGAUAAAAUAAGGAGAUCUUUUCUUUGGAAAGGAGAAGAAAACACAAAUGGAGGACAUUGCUUGGUCAAUUGGCCGACAGUAUCAAGGCCCAAAGACCUGGGCGGGCUAGGGAUACUAGACUUAGAGAGGUUUGGAAGAGCUCUCCGUCUACGCUGGCUAUGGCAAGAUUGGGUGGAAGAGUCCAAACCUUGGGCGGAUGCGGAAUUACCUUGCAACGACCUUGAUCGGCUGCUCUUCAAUGCAUCAACAAAAAUCACAAUUGGUGAUGGUGAAAAGGCCCGCUUCUGGCACAGCAGUUGGUUGGACGGCGAGGCCCCAAGACAUCUAGCGCCCCACUUGUUCGAGCUAGUCAAAAGGAAAAACAGGUCGGUCAAGCUUGAACUUCAAAACAAUAACUGGUUUCGAUCUCUAAGCGGCCGAAUCACCACCGUUGUCCAAGUUGAAGAAUUUGUCUCCCUGUGGGUCAGAAUCCAAAACAUCCACCUCACACCGGGCGUUCGGGACUCCAUUAUUUGGAGAUGGACAGCUGACGGCACUUACUCCACCAGGUCAGCUUACAGGAUACAGUUCAAAGGUUCCUAUGGGGGCUUCCGGAGCAACCUCAUCUGGAAGGCUCAUGCAGAAAACAAAUGUAAAGUGUUCGUUUGGAUUCUGGUGAGAGGAAAAAUCCUCACGGCGGAUAACCUGCAAAAGAGAGGAUGGCCACAUCAAGACCACUGCGCUUUGUGCGGUGGCCCACUUGAGACAGGGCUGCACAUGGCACUACUCUGCCCAUUCGCCAAAGCAGUAUGGAGCCUUAUUCUACAAUGGGAGCACUUCGAUGCCCAAUUGAUCCUACCAUCUCAAGAUCCAACCCUUUUAAGCUCAUGGUGGGAAGAGGCCGAAACCAAGAUAACUAAGGGGGAAAGAAAUCGUUUCAACGGUAUGGUGAUCUUCACUUUCUGGAAUAUCUGGAAGGAGAGGAACAGAAGAAUUUUCAACAACGUCCAUGAAUCGGCAAUGCAAGUGGCUGCAAGGACCAAAGAGGAUAUCGAGCAAAGGAAGAGAGCACUAAAUUGGAGGGGGUAGUAUAUAAGCAAAAUCUGUAACUGUUUCUUUUUACCCUCCAAGACCUUUGUGUACAUAAACUCUUUUUUCCUCUCUUAAUUGAAAGGCAGAGCUCCUGCCAUUGCGUUCAAAAAAAAAAAAAAAAAAAAAAAAAAAAAAAAAAAAAAACGAAACAAAAGAUGAACCAGAUGGCUUCUGUAUAACAAAAGCUCCGACAAUUGCAAGCACAUGGAUGGAUAGAAAUGCUGCAUUCACAAACUCAGCCGUUAAAUAAACAAAUGUAAAUUUAACAAAUAAAUUCGUAAAUUACAUAAUUAAUGUUAGCAUGAUGUUAACAACUUGUAGUCAGCCAUGAGCAAUAUACACUGAUCGAAUAAUCACUCACCUGCUAAUGACUACAUGAGUACAUACCAUCUACCAGAAUCAACAGUUAAUGGGAGUGAAGCAGGCAACUGUGCCUAGAUGAGAAAUAUGAGAUUGAGACUUCAAAUAAGACAAAAACGAACCAAAAAUGCUCACAGAUGUAUUUCAGUUUUAUUUCAGUCACAAAUAUAUAUUAAAAAAGGAGAGGAAUUCAUCUAACUCGAUCAACACAUUUUGCUAUGGAAAGCCCCCAAUCUCGCAGAAUUAGGGAGGUUAAACUUGAGAGGGAUAGAUAAAAUCGAGAUUGCGGUUGCGGCGGUGGUGAGGAACGAAGCGAAAACCUAUGGAGAGAGACCAAACAGGUUUGAAGAAACCACCGCCGCAGCAGCGACGGCCGAUGUAAUCUAAAAUGGAGAUUCGAGCGGCGGCAUUGCUGUAGAUAAACAUAGAGGGCUCAUGCUUACCUGAUCCUUCACUCUUCUGUGCUCCAUCUCUUCCCCACGAGCGGCGAGCCGGCUCUGCAGUUCUGCUACUGCGUUUUCUUUCACAGGAAGGAAGGAAUACUGCAGACGUGAGGGACUGCGGGCGGCGGCGAAGGGCUGGCUGGGCAAGCACCGCUGCACGCUGGGUCUCGUGUAGUCGUCUGUGUGAUCAAGUCGUAACUGAUAGGCAGCGACGUGUGGCGUACCUAGCUGGCGAAAAAAAAGGCAAUAUUUUACAAGUUGGGUACAUACAGUAAUUAUGGGCAGUAAAUAACUUUUUGGAAGGAUGUAUUAUGGCUUCUUCAGUGACUGUUCAAACUGACUCAUGCUGACAUCCAGUGAAUCGAUACAUGACCAUUAGAGGUCUACCAAUGCAUACACAUUCUCAUAAACCAGCUCCUAAACAUAAGUUGUGUGAAUACAACGGCUAACCAUUAUCUAUUGCCUAGCUAGUCGUUGUGCAACUCUCCUAUCUAUUUCACAACGACUCUCCUCUCCAUUCCACAAAACACAAACAGCAGGUAAGCGUUCUUCCCUCUCCAUCUCAUAAAACAAAAGCUCUGCUUGUGUUUUGUGAAAUGGGGAGGAGAGCCAAGCACUUUGUAUCUGCUGCUUGCAUUGAAAUGGAGAGGAGAGAGCACUUGUAUUUGUUGCUUGCGUUUUGUGAAAUUGAAAUGCCAUUUGUGCUUUUUGUAGAGCAAUGAGACGACUAGCUGUGAAAUGGACAACCGUCAGAUAGUUGGCAGUUGUAUUCACAGUGCUGAUAAGUAUGUGUGCAUUGACAAUGUUUAGAGUCGAUUUCUCAUAAUAUGUAUGCAUCGGUAGACCUCCAGUGGUCAUACAUCGAUUCAUUGGAUGCUGCUCAUCCUAUGAUUCGAUGCAGAGUCCAUAGGAGAAGCCCUUAGGAAGCCUAAACAGUUUGACAAAGUUUAUCUCAAGCAAAGUUUAUAGGUGAAUUAUGAUCGAAAGCAAUUAAGAAGCCCAAACUUAAACACUUCAGCAUCUAUUCAGUUAAAUACAUGCACCAAACAUCUCUCUUCAAGCAUUCCUAGCUUCAGGCCUAGAGAUAUUCCUCUUUAACUCCAUACCCAUAAAGAAAGCCGUUUAGUACAACAGUCUCCAAAGUCUAACUUUGACUCCUUGUUUUUAUAAAAAUAUUUAUCAAAAAGUGGUAUAGAUAUAUUUUUAUAAAAGUAUUUUUCAAAACAAAUCUAUUUAUAUUUAUAUUACCAAUGUUUGACUCAAACCUUGUUCAAAACAACUUGCUUCAUGAGUAUGGAGGGAGUAUGUGAAGAAUCCUGAGUCAUGGUGACCGAUUGUUGUGCUAACGGGGAGCGAAAUGUGAAUUUCAAAAGAAGCCGUACAGAGAACGAUGUUCACCAAGUGAGUGACACGUUGGGUAACCUGAAAGGCCACUCUAAAACGAUAAGAAUGAGGCCUGUUGCUUUGUCCAAAAAAAAAGAGAGGCUUGUUUGAAUUCUGGUCUAAAGUUUAGCCGAUAAAUUUUAGACUGUUUUAGCUCUUGAAUGUUGUAAAUAGGUUCAGUGUUGUCCAAACUUUAGCUAACCUUAAAAAAGACGCUAGUUCAUUAGACCACACAAGUGAAUUUUGGAAUCUGUUUAGUUUAUGUGGAAAAGAUGUCAUAAGCUGUGAAAAAGCUGUUGUGAGCUAUGUGCUGUAAUAAAGUUGUACGCUGUUUGGUUGAAAUAAGUUCACAGCCACUUGGUGAACAAUCAGUUGAAAGAGCUGCACAUGUCAGUAAGUACAAUAUAGUGAAGUCGCUUUGUAUUCAUGCAACUACAAGUAAUUAAGCGCUCUUUGUUAUAUACAAGGUCGUGUAUCAGUCCAUGAAAUUUCUGUGGCUCCACCUUCAGUUGGUGCAGAGAUUGGAUGGAAACCCAAGAACUCUUAUUAAUUAGGUUUACUUUCAUUUGCACCGACAGAUUCAUCACCUUCUAGGAUGACGACGACAUCAUUCAGGAUCUGAAGAUGAGGCUCUUGCAGCUUGGAGCAUUUCCACAAUUAGUGUUUUAACAUCCCUGUACAACAGUAACAAACCCAUGUCAGAGAACCGGUCAAGGAAUAUUCAGAAAUAACUGCAUUUUAGGCAUCAAUUUUAAAUGGCGUACAAAACAUAGUGAAAGACAAUCGUGAAGAAAAAGCAUCUGGGUUUAAUAGCACACAAAUUAAGGCCUCCUUUGGAACGCAGGAAUUUCACAGGAAUUGUAUAGCAAUUUCAUAGGAAUCAGUUCAUUUUUCAUAGGAAAAGAAGAGCUGUGUCAGAUUAGAAGGCUAAGAGACUCAAGAGUGGGGGACCCACUUCCUGUCUUGCGCCUGCCUUGGGAAGGGGAUACGCAACUUUAGAACACUUCCAUCAUAACCAGCCUGGGCAGCAGAAAUAGGCAUAUUAGAAUUUAUAAGAGAGUUGGAUUUUUUUUUCAAUACAUGAGAACAGAGCCCAUUAAUUAAAGGUGCAAUUGUCUAGCCAAAUAAGUAAAAAUCACAGUCGAACAAAUUGUAUUAUCCAGACCAUAAUAAAGGCCAGAAUAUUGAAAUGUUGCACUUCUGUUAUGAUAUUGUAAUGCUGACCUUGUGGUUACUGAUCCGUUUUUUAGUCCUACUGAUCCGAACUGAGUAGGCAAAAUAUAGCAUAUUAACUUCCAGGUAUUAUUUUGUCUAGUUUAUGGCACUGUUGCCAUUGCAUUAGUCAGUAUCUCAGUAUGACAUUGAGCAGGUACGGGGCAUUUCCAGGACAAAUUAGUAAAGUAUAAGGCACAUGCUGUAAAGAGUUACCUUCACAUUAAAACCAAGGCUGUCCACAUCCAGCAUAUAAGCAAAAUCCACCUGAAUUGCAUUUGUCAUCUUUCAAGUUUCAAUAUAUUUGAAAGCAAUAUUUGGUCAAAAGGGUAACAACACAAAAUGGACAGACUGUAAAAGAAAUUAUGCAAAGCACUGAAGAAUUCCUCCUUUGCUACUAUCCCAUGCUCAUGGGUGAUCAAGAGUUUCAUGACUGCAUUGUACUGAUAGCUAAACACUAUGCACAAUGCUAACUACAGUAAUGAACGCAGUUCUUCGAUGCAGAUUCCAGCAAACCGCAGAAUAACACUUCUGGUUGCCAAGUAUACCGACAGAUAUGCAUAACAAAUAGACUAUAAAGCAAAUGGUUACAUUCAUUUGUAAACUAGUUUGCAAUUUUGAAUGAAUGGUUGGCUGUUUCCCAGUGCAAGAAUUGCACAGUUGCACGCAGAUCUAGCCCUGGAUGAUGUAUCUACCUUUGCACCUGUGUAUUGACAAGCCUGCAAGCAUAUGCUUAAACAGAGUACAGUUUUCACUUUCUGAACUACAAGCAACACAAUGUGUCAAGAACAAAAGAUACACAUACAUGAUCAAUAAAAAGUGCUCGUUACUUAUUUACAGACAUAACUACAUUAUAAAAAAAAUACAGACAGUGCCCUCACCCCUCAGGAAAAGAAUAUUUAGGCACAAUUUUCUUCAAGGUAUAUCAGGUUUUGCAGUAAUAUUAUUGGAAUAAAUACUUUAUUGUUAUAUUGUUGGAACAAAUGCUACAUAAGUAGACUUCAUCAUUUACUUGCCUUAACAGUAGUGGAGUGUUGCACAAUGAGCUUUGUAUCAUCAGCAUGAUCCUUGUUCAUAUGGCUCUGUAGGGCAUAUACGUAAUGGAAGGUUGAAACGUUUAGCGUAAAGCCCAAUAAAUAUAUAAGGGCAAGGAGUAAAGGGAAACAGAAUCCAGACAUACUGUAAUAGGAGUUGAGAAUUGAGAUAUUGGAUCAACGUUAGCUUCCUUGUACUCGGCAGCACCGAAUUCUGGGGAUUUUGACAUUAGGUUAGCAUAUUAGGUAAAAACACUAUCACCAAAUUAUUUUUUGUCAUGUUUACAGAAUUUGACUAAGAUGCAAGUGCAUCUCAGAUAUGUAGUUGCUAUUUAUGCAUCUAUGCUAAUAGUGGGAGGAUAAGUGAACAUGGUUACUCUAAAAAUAUGUGAAUGUUGCAGAACCAUAAACUUCUGCAUCAUGACAGUGUUCCUUUUGGUGACUAGCUUUCCUGUAGGCGAUUCAAAAAGGCACCUACCUCCAGAGCCAAGGAGAGCAGUUGCAACGCCAGAUACAUAGCGCACAGCUUUAGGUUUGAUGUGCAGGAAACUGAAGUCACCAAAGUCAACCUUAAUUUGGCAAAUAAUUCAUCAUAAUCAGUACUCCAUUGAAGUUGGUCUUUGCAACAGUCACAACAUUAAGAAAGUAUACCCAAAAAGCAUCAGGAUGCCUUCUUAGGUAAGCACUUCUCACGGAAUCUUUUUCUUCGUCAGAAACCUGCAAAUAAGAAUAAGGGCGUCAGCAAACACAGUUACUAUCAGUAUCAGGUGACAUGCAAACUAUGAUUUUUUAUCACCAACUUUCUUGCUGGUUUCACCACUAACCUGCACUAACUUGCUUAAGAAUAAGAGAUUUUGCUGUUUUAUGCACAUUAUGAUUUAGCAAUGUAUCUGAAAUGUAACAAGGAAAAGGCAUGAUGAUAUAUCAGUGGGAAAGCAAAGGAGGGAGGAAAUUACAGGAACAGCAUCACCAUAUACAGUGAUUACAGUAUCCGUUCUGUCCUCAGGGUCUUUGGCGACAAGAAGUGAGCAUUUAGGAUUUCCGGAGAGAUUCUGCAAAAUUGGUAGCAAAGCAUAAGGGUCACCAGUGAAAGAAAUAUGUUUACAACUGUUGCCUGUGUUUACUGAAUGUAGACUAGACAAUUAUGCAAUUCAAACAAAUGUUCUAGCAGUGUUAGAUUUGCAUAUUUCUUUGUUCGUCCACACAUGUGCUUCGAUGUAUUUUCCAGUGAUGCUACCAAAUUGUAAGGCAUCCAUGCAUAAUGGACAUGGAAAGGUAAACAAAUAGCUUUGUAUACAGAAUCAUGAAAGCAAAAAAUCACCUUACCUUUGAAUGAACUGCUAAACUACUCACUGCUAAUAUGGGGGAACCAUCUUGAUCACAUGCAAAAUCAACCAUUGAACUAGAUGGAUAACCAGCAUGAUCCUGUAAGCAUAAUAAUAUAUAGUAUGAAAUCUCCGAAAAAGACUAGUAUAAUUCUGCAAGACUACAUAUAUUGGAGUUCUGGAACUAUAAAUUCCAUGUUUAUUUAAACAAAAGAAAACUAUGAGUUUGUCUUCACUCAGAUUUUUAGAUAAAUAUUCUUCGCUGCUAACCAAGUACAAAACUACUCAACUAACCAAGUACAAAACUACUCAACCCGUUCCAAAUUAAAGGAGGCAGUUUAUGACAUGUACAAGUACAAAACUACUCAACCCGUUCUAAAUUAUAAAUUGUUUUAUCUUUUCUAUGUAUAGCUUUUGCUAUGUAUCUAGAGUUCUAGACAUAGUGUAUAUCUAGGUGCAUAGCAAAAUGUAUGUACUUAUAAAAGCCAAAAUGACUUAUAAAUUUGGAACAGACGGAGUAGAAAUCAUGCUCUGGUGAUACCUAGAUUAGCAUCUGGUUCAGUAAAAACUGGAUGUCACCAAAUCAUUCGAAACAAAACAAUAACCUCCAAAGUUUCAAUAGACAAGAUUGUUCUUCAUGAACAGUGGGUUAGUCUCUUUACAUUAUCCAAUGCUCACUGACUACAGAACUUUUGAGGGUAGAUGAAGGAAAAGACUAGCUAAGUAUUUGUCCAAUAAGACAUGCAAAUAUAACAACAUUUGGUGUUUCAUAGUCUAGGUACCUGAGAAUGGGUAGCAAGAACGCCUCUGACACUUCGGUCCAGAAUGGUCCGUAUUUCUUCAACUGGAGAAAGACGAGCAGCUUUUGCCUAUAAUUAUGAGAAUUUUGAGUAAAUAAUAAAGAUCCAGAGACAAUGGUUAAAUCUACAUUCCGAAGAGCUCAGGUGCAAGCUUAAGCGACUUGCAAUUGCAAACUUUUUAAAGUAUUCAACCCUACCACAGUCCACAGUUGUUGCAGAUACAAUCACUGACUCACAUGAUAAGUUGAUUCAACAUGCUGUACGAAUUGACAAGAUUCAGCUGGGACUUGGGAAUAGCUAUGAUUCGCUACUAGACUACUAGAGACAAUGAGGCCUCACAACAUCGCAACAUGGGACUCUUGCCUUUGGAAGGAAACCAUUUGCACAUCAUUGUAUCAAUGUUUUGCUUCCUCACGUUGAUCUUUGAGAAGAAAAUGACCAUACUAAAAGAUUCAUCUAUUUCAAUUGAAUAAUAAGUCCUUUUGGUGAAUUUAUUUGACACCCACAUCCCUUCGGCCCCUCCUCAUAAUAUAGUCCAUCUGGUACUAUUAUCCCAAAAAUCCAAAGUUUGUCGACAGACCCAGGACUCAACGGACCCAAAACACCCGAUUCACUUCACUUGAGUCGCAUAGCUACUGCCCACAGGUCAUGAUACACACACGAUCCCCAAAGCCAACGACAAAAGGGCAAGAGCCACACCUGGUGAACGCGGAUCACCUCAAACGCGUCCGAAGAACCACCGGGGGCGUCGGCAGGCGCCGCCAUCUGCAACGCAGUUACGCAGACAAACAAAUACCAAAGCACAAUCAGCCAAAUACAUCACCGCCGCGGAGCCAUUUCAUCGAACAUCUGCCCGCACGAAACAGUUAAUAAAAUUAGGGGCGGCCGGGGGCGGCAGGCGGAGAGGCGAGUCGGACCUGGGACGAGGAGGAGGAGGACGCGAAGAAUCGGCCGCGGCGGUUGCGGAGGCGAGGGUAGAGGAGGGGGGAAGCGGAGACGUGACCGUGCCGGUGGUUGUGCCGGCCAUUAGUAAUUUGUAGGUGGAGCGGAAGGAGUAGGCGCGACAGCGUUGACGGCGAGGGCGCCGCCCGAGCGCCCGGCGUGAGCAGCAAGGGCAUCGUCAUUGCGUGCACGCGUGCGCCACGGAGCCUGUCUCGGUGUCUGCGUGCAGCGCAAGCGGAGAGCCUCGCUGGCCGCUUGGUGGUCGCUCGGCACGGCAGGCCCGCGACCGCGAGCUGUGCUGCUGCUUGUGCACACGGCGGGGUAGAGUCUAGAGUGAGUGGCGUUGGCCAGAUGGAACUGGUCCAGGCCGUCAAGACAUCACCUAGCCCAUUAUAAGGAUUUGGGGGCCGGACUUGGUUAUUUCGACGUUGGGCUGGAUGCAGAGUCCUUAAGCGGCACCAGUCAUCCUCAAUGGGAGUUUCAUGACACAGUUUCCAACACAUCAAUAUUUUGGAAACAGUGCAUAGAAGUUUCAUGGGGAUGAAACUCUCUCUACUCCCAUGAAACUCUUAUUAUCUCUCUCUUCAUUAAUAUAGCGCCACAUCAGCAUAUUUAAUGUGCAUGAAACUCUAAUGAAACCCAUUGAGACUAGCCUAAGUGUAUAAAGAAAAACUAUGUAAUAUCUAGACAAGUCAAAAAUAUCAUAAUUUAAAAUAGAAGUAUAAUACUAGUGUGUUUCCUUCGUCGAAAAGAACACAAACAAGUUGGCCAAAAUGUUUCCGAUUUCAUUUUCCACAUCAAUCAAGUUCACUCUCGAUUUCGAGUUUACCGUUCUUAUCUAAUUUUCCGUAAAUAUGUGAAAGUAAUAACUUUAAAAAAAUGAAACACGCUCAAUAGUUCUUUUUACACUUUGGCGUCUAUGAACCCGUGCCUGGCGCUGAUGUACACGAUGCUUUGGAAAAGAAUACGGAAUUUAUGGUCGAGUCAGUGCGUGAUUCGAGAGGCAGGGCUCUUUGACCGGAAUGCCACUGCGUGAUUCGAGAGGCACAGGCCCGCUUCGUUACCCGUAUCACUUGAUUAUCGAGUGACGAAUGAAUCCACGAAGAAGACCCUAUAUAAGUAGUACUACACGCCGAAGAAAACAUCUUGAAGUCACCACAACUCCGAACAAAAAAAAAAAUACUCCUACUCCUACUAGCACUAGCACUAGUAAACACCGAAAGGGACCGGGGCAUCGACGGGCAUGGCUCAGAAGGACGGCGACGACCUCUUUGCCGGCCUGCGGGCCGUCUUCGCGCUGAGCGUGAAACCGGAGGUGAAGCCGUCCAUGCUCGUCACCCUUGUGGUGCAGGACACCAAGCGGCGCACGCUGUCCCGCACCAUGCGGAGGACGGACAAGCUGCAGGAUCUGAUGGACUACUACUACGGCGUGAUGUCCCCUCCGCUCACGUACGGCGAGGGGCGCUUCUUGUUCGACGGCGGGCGUGUCAAUGGGGAGAAGACGCCGGAGGAGUACGACAUGGUCAGCGGGGACAAGAUCGACUUCUUCCCCGAUCUGAUGGGGGCCUGAUGUGGCGGUGGCGCCGGCCUGAAUGCCUGAUCGACUCACGCUGCCUGCUAGCUACGUACGAGUACCUUGCUAAUAAGCUCGUUUCCCUAUUAGCACUAUGUAUCUCCCGCUGGAUUGUAUGAACGGCUCUGUUUUAGUCUUCCUUUCUUUUAUGGGGGAACUUUUAGUGAAAUGGCUUUUUAACUGCAUCAUGCCAUCUUAUGCCAAUCCAACGUUCAUCAGUCGCCGGAUAGCUUCCGUGGCAACUUGACGUAGCAAUGACUUGUAUCCAAAUUUCAUAUAGCAAAAUCCAAUUAAAAUACUCUCUCUGUGCCUGAAUAAAUAGGUUCUUAAAUUUAUGUUAAGUCAAAGUUUUUAGACUUUGACUGAAUUUUUAGAAAAAUCUGUCAAAAUUUAUGACAACAAAUUAGUAUCAUUAGAUGUACUCCAUAGAAUAUAUAUGUUCAUAAUAUGCCCAUUUUAUGGCAUAUAUGCUAGUACUUUUUCCUAUAAAGUUAGCGAAAUUUAAAACAGUUUGACUGACAUGAAUUUUAGAAAUUGAUUUAUUUGAGAAUGAAGAAAGUACGGUACAAGGAAACAAAAUAUAAAGUACAAUACUACCCAAAUACAAAAUGAAAAAAAUGCUCAUUCCUAUCCAAAUUUAUUUUCUCUAAGUCUAAAUCCAUCUAAUAUGAUCCAAUGGUAACAAAAGCAACCUAAUAUCAAGUAGCAAUUGUCAUUACCCGAAAUUUGAAUUAGCCCGAAUUAACCGACCACCCGAACACGGCCUUGUUUAGUUCCAAAACAUUUUGCAAAAUGGACACUGUAACACUUUUGUUUGUAUUUGACAAAUAUUAUUCUAUCAUAGAUUAACUAGGCUCAAAAGAAUCGCCUUGCAAAUUACAGAUAAAUUAUAUAAUUAGUUGUUUUUUAUCUAUAUUUAAUGAUCUAGCGAAAUUCGAUGUGACGGUGUAAAGUUUUGAAAAAAAAAAAGAGUUUAGAACAAGGCCUCAGAGUGGCGAUGGCCAGAUGGAAGAAGGCCGUAACUGCAGUGCACAAAGAGACCUUCCUGGUCCAGGCCGUCAAGAGAUCACCUAGCCCAUUAUAAGGAUUUGGGGCCGGGCUUGGUUAUUUCGAUGUUGGGCCGGAUGCAGAGUCCUUAAGCGGCACCAGAGACUACGUGGGCUAGCAAGAAUGUAAGAUGCUGGCCAGAUUACCUGGCGGAGAUUACCCGUGAGGCCGUGACCACUAACCAAAGCUCGUUAUUAAGCUUUGGCCUCUGAUCUUUUGGUGAGGUCAUUUCGGCUAGCUUGUGAUAGUGCCAAUGCCAUGAGAAGUGUUGGAGGAGUUUUCAAAAAAAAAAGUGUAGAUUUUGCUAGAAUGGCCAAGCUGUACAAUUUCGGCUAGCUUGUGAUAGUGCCAAUGGCCAAGUUGUAAGAGAGAUAAAGGCUAGGGCACUUGAUUUUCUUAUGUAGAUUUUGCUCAUGAGAGUAGAAAGUCUAAUGUUGAUGCUCGCAACUUAGCUAGAAGCAUGUUUUUUUAGACAGGCAGGCAUGCCUAGCUGUUAGAACUGCCUAUUGCAUUUGUAAAUCAUAUGAUCAACUCCAUGAAUAAAGAGUGUAGAGUUCCCCCAAAAAAAAAUUAUGCGAGCAUUCCUAAAUCGACCAUGCCAUAAUAUAACAAGGAAAAAGUUUCUCCAUAAACUAUCACCAUGGCUUAAUUUUUUUGAAAGAACACCAUGGUCUAAUUUUCAUCUUCCAACUUCAAAUGAGACUUCUUACCCAUUUUAAAUAAUAAAAAUCAUAGACAUAUAUUAGGUUACAAAAAUCAACAGAAAACGUUUAUAUUGUUUAAAAACAUAUUUAGAAAUAAAAAGAAAAAUAUUCACUAAAAUGAAAACAACAUCUAGAAAAUCUAGAAAAACUUUCAAGAAAAAGUUUCAACAUUCUAAUUGAGUUUUUUUUAAGCUUUUAGAGGCAUUUUCUAAAACAAACUUCCGAUUCAUACUUUGAAUUCUUGAAUAAAUCACCAGAGCCAAGCCAGGCUGCCAAAAUCAAAGUACUCCCAGCACUCCAACGGGAGGUUUGAUGGUUGCGUGGCUCUCUUGCUUGCUCCUUGAAUACACCCGGACACUCCAGACUUCUGCUCUUCGCACGAUCACAUAUUCACAGUUCACGAUCACUUGUGUUGACGAUCCCAUCGCCCAACGACUUCAGCGAGCAUCACGGGGUGUCGUGGCGCGGAAGUGUGGACCAUCUCCGCACUCCAGUACAUGGCCCGCGCCGCCAUGACGUUUCCAGGACGACGCAAGCAAAACUGCUGAAGUCCCACGCUCCGCACGCUCGCUCUGCCCGUCGCCCGGCCGGUCAUGAGCUCAUGGCAUCGGCGUGGCUCCUGGUCCCGGGGUGUCGUGGGUGACGCGCGAGAAAAGCCGGCGACCAAACAGUGCAAGUGCCUGCCUCGCGCACGCCGCAAAAGCAAUCACGAUCAAGGUCUUGUUUAGUUUAAAAAAAAUUACAAAAUAUUUUCAGAUUCCUCAUUACAUUGAAUCUUGCGGCGCGUGCAUGAAGCAUUAAAUAUAGAUACAAAUAAUAACUAAUUGUAUAGUUUAUCUAUAAUUUGUGAGACGAAUCUUUUGAGUCUAGUUAGAUCAUAAUUAGAUAAUAUUUGUCAAAUACAAAUAAAAAUGUUACAGUAUCUAUUUUGCAAAACUUUGAGAAACUGAACAAGGCCCCAAAGCAAACGCAGUCGGUCGGUCCUGCUGCCCAAGGGAAGAAAAAAAAAUCAAGAACGUUACAGUCGCAGAGCCGGUACGGUACCUAACGCGGUUUUACCACCACAGGCCCGGCCUUCCAGAUCGAGCUUCUUCGACCGCCCGUCACGUCUUGCCAGCCGCUAUUUUGUAUUGUAAGCACCGUGCUUGGACGCGUCGCUUGGUCGUUAGCACGCCGCAAUCAGAUGGACUGAGCCCGGUUUGGCCGCUGGCCAGUGGGCACAUUUCCACCCGCGAGGUCCGCCGGAAGCUACCGCCGCGGAUCCAGCGAAACGGGCACGGUUUGCUCGGUGGAACCAGACAUCUGGCCAACGGUCAAAUUUUCAUGGCCUCCUCGUGCUCGUGGUUGAAGCUGAGAGGGAGAGGGGGCGCGGGAGCGCCGGAUGGGGACAAGGGGGGGAUGUGGCAUGCCGCAUGCAUGGCAGUGGCAGGCCAGCAGGACCGCAGCACGGCGGAGUAUUUUACAGCCUUUCGCUGACAGCUAGUCAGCGGUCCCGAUCGCAACUGUCGCGCCAGCUGUGCCCACCAGGCUGGUCGUUUGCCCAUGCGCCCAUGACCGUUUGCUACCGAGAUCCUCUGGAUCCGCCUCUCCGUGCGACCCCUCCUGGGGCUCCUGAUGCGGUGAUGCCUCGUCGCCUCGACUCGACACGUUUUCAAUACUAUACUUACCAGCCAACACGAACAGCGGGCGAAAUCCACUCCACCGCAGGAUCUGAACUCGGUUCGAUACCAUGAAACGUUUUCAAGCAACGUUUUUUUCCCCGUCAAGUUAGCCAGAAUCGCGUGCUGCUACCAGCACCAGCAAUAUGCGCACGCAACCAAGUUGCCUCGGCGCGGCUCGUGCUCGUGCCGGCCUGAGGACGCGCAGCGCGGCGGGCGGGCGAGCGGCGACGCGCGCGUGGUCAGCAGCACUCAGCAGAGGGGAGCAGAGAGGAUCCCAACGGCCCCCGCGCCCGCCGCGCCCGCGCAACCGCAAGGCAGUGCCAGGCUGCCUGACCGGCCGCGCCACCAAACGCGGCGGAACCCAACAAAUGGCCAGCCAGCCAGCCGCGCGUGGUGCGGCACUUCCCGUUCGACCCAGGCAGCAGCCCCCCACCGCCUCACGCAACCUACCUGGCCGCGCCGCGCGGGCCCCGCUCCGGCCUCCGUCCGCGUCCGCCCCCCUGCCUCUAUAAAACCCUCGCCCCUGCGCACCGUCCUCCCCCACCUCUCCCCGACGCCCCGACUGCGCGCAUCUCUCUAGAGCUUCAUACCCUCGAAGAGAGAUCCGUCGCGGCCCCCAAUAAACAACCAGCUCACUCCAGACUACUCGCAGAAGAUGGCCGGCCUCAGGAUGAAGUUCGUCGCCGUCGCCGCCAUGGCCGCCGCCCUCGUGGCGUCAGCCGCGGCCGCCGAGGCCCCCGCCCCCGCGCCGGCCUCCGACGCCGCCGCUGCCGUGCCCCUCGCCGCGGCCUCCCUCGCCGCCGCCGCCUUCGGCUACCUCUUCUGCUAGAUCCGGCCGGCGCUGGAUGCGUGCGUGGUUUUCUGCCUGCUUGAUAUGCGUGAUUCGUCUGGCGUGAGUUGAGUUCCGUGUCGUGUGCGUGUGUCUGUCUCUGUGUGAGGUGUCGGCGGGCGUGUGUAUGUAUGGAGUCGGCGGCGGCGGCGGAGGUGUGCCCGUGGUGGUGGUACAUGCGUCGAUGCGCCAUUGUUUGUGGCGGCGAUCAUGUACCUGCUGCGUUUUCUGGUUAUUAAUGAGAUGAUUUAUUUGAUUCUUUCCAGCCUGGGCACCAAGUGCACAAUUACAAUUUUUCAGUACUACUGCUGAUCUGCCAUGCAUCUGUGCCUAUCUAGCGUGCAAUAUGAGGUACUCAGAUUUUAUCUGCGACCAGCGAAUUUGUCUCGGCGAUUCUAUCAACUCUUUGACUCCGUUCAUUUGAGCUUAAGCAUUGUUUUUCUUUCCCAACAAAUUAUCGAACGGUAGAUUUCUAAAAAAAAAAAAAAGAAAUCGAACGGUACUGUCAACCAGACAAGCGAAUAGACUCUUUGCCUUUGCAAAGAAAAUUGAUGAUUAUGAUCUUUGUAUCGAGCCCUUCAAUUUGUGCAUAAUAUUCAGUGGGGCCAAAUCAAUAUAUAUAAAGUUCAUGCGCCUCCUUAGAUCAACAUCCUGCGGUGAACAAUCAUGUGAAACGAACACUAGCGACAGCCAAGCCAUCAAGAAAAUCUAUGAUUCAAUUAAGUUCAGAAUUAAUAAAGCCUUAAUUUUAGUUUCGAAACUGGUUGGCUUGGAGAUGCCUGGGGCCAGGGUUGUUGAGGGAUCCGAAGAUUGAAAUGAUUGAAGAGCGUUGCCAGCCAUGCGCCAUGUGGUAUGUGCGUCUGGCUCGUUCAAACUGGUCCACAGAUGAGUUGUCUUGGGCAGAAGCUGCCCUACCGACUGCAUCAACAUACUAGUAGCUGGCAAUUGGCAUGCUUGCCAUGCUAGAUGUAUGGCGCGUUAGCUAGAAGCUGAAAGAACGGUGUGCCAUCGCCAUCCACGCAGUAAUAAGAUACAAGUAGCUAAUACUUCGUUACCGGUAUAAAUCGUUUGUCCAUUUGCAUCACCAUCCAUAAAUUCACUAGCCGGUGAUGGGACAAACACCGACACUACGGACGUGGAUUCCUUCAUUUCUGCAUUAUUAGUUUUUUAAUGGAAUUGCAUGUCGAGCAAUACUUAAUCUGGACCAUGUUGGCCAAAAAGGCCAGCGUUUUUUUUUUCUUCAGGCGGACGGCCGUACGCCUACAGCUUCGGGCUUACUUCUACUGUCAACAGAGAACGUGCAAAAUAGGGGCCCAGUUCUAGACUCUGGACUGUGAGAGGCCCAGUUUUAUAUGGGCUCAAUUUACUGCUGACUAGGGGCCCCUGGCGAAGGAUGCAAUCCGCUACAAGCUGAUAGCCUGAUACGGAUACGGCUGAAGCAGUGAACUUGACACAAUGACACGCUAUGGGCUAAAAGCGCAGCCGCUUGGCCCGCUUCACAUGAACUCGCUCAUCAUGGCGAGCACCUGCGCCAUGGUGGGCCGCUCCUCCGGCGCCUCGGCGGUGCACAGCAUGGCGAUCCUCACCAUCCCCAUCGUCUCGUCGCUCCCCUCGCCGCCGUCCGCGGCCUUGUGGCCAGUCACCACCUCCAGGAGCACCAUCCCAAAGCUGUACACGUCUGACUCCUGCGUCGCCCGCGCUGCCGCGCCCGAGGCCAGCUCCGGGGCCGCGUACCCGUGCCACCCGCCGCUCGUCGCCUGGUCCGGCAGGAACAGCUCGGGCGGGCACCGCGUCCGGGCGGCCUGCGGCUGCGGGGCGAUGGCCUGCUGGAUGUUGGUGGCGUAGCGCAUGAGCCCGCACUCGGACACGCACGCGCCGCCGCGCUCGUCCACGAGGAUGUUGGACGGCUUCACGUUCGCGUGCACCAGCGCCGGCCGCGCCGGGAACGUGUGGAUGUAGUUCAGGCCCUGCGCCGCGCCGAACAGGAUGCUCUUCCUCGCCGCCCAGUCCAGAUUCCUCGCGCCUCCUCCUGCAACAACUCAGCAGCAGCAGCAACAGACCACCGUCAAGAACACUCACUUUCUUGCAGCAACUGCGAAUUGGCGACGCGUUUUGGAUUUUGCUCAUCGUAUUUUCGCAGCGCACACGCACCAGUGGCUUGCAGAAGGGAUUGGAGGCUCCCGUUCGGGAGGAAGUCGUAGACGAGCAGGCGCUCCCCGUUGGAGUUGCAGUACGCCCUGAGGCUGACGACGUGCCGGUGCCGGAGCCGGCCGACGACCCGCAUGUGGCGGUCGAACGCCUUGCUCCGACUGGCUGGGAACUGCAGCGCGCUGAGGCGCUUGACGGCCACCACGAUGCCGUCCUCUAGCACCGCCUUGUACGUGCUCCCGGACACGCCCUUGCCCAGCACCUCCGCGGACGCCUUGAGGAGGCUCUCCAGCCGCAGCUCGUCGCCGCCGUCGAAGCAGACGAGCCCGCCGGACGUCUUGUGGCACCUGUCGUCCCUUUUUUCUUCCUCCUCGAAGCACAGCGCCGCGUCGGGAGCAUCCUUGGCGGACCGGAGCUUUCUCCUCACGUAGACGAACAUGGCCACGGAGAUGGCUAGCGAGACCGUGAUGAGCACCGCGUUGCCAAUGCUGGUGGCCAUGAGCGCAGUCAUGCUAAUCUUACCGAAUCCUCCGUUGCUAGAAGAAACACUACUGACACUAGCGUUCGGAGAUUGAGCUACAACAGUAUUAAUGGUCGCGUUUGAAGAACUAUCUGAUCCUAGAGCAUCGUAAGCAUGGGCACAUUUCGGCAGAGGCUGACCACAGAGAGCGAGAUUGUCACUGAAAGCGGAGCUCGGGAACCUGGACAGGUCGCCGGGGAUCUCCCCGGCGAGCUUGUUCCCGGACACGUUGAAGCUCCUGAGCAUCGGGACGCGCAGCGCUUCCAGCCCUCCACGGAAGCCGUUGUGCUCUGCUCGAAGGGUGAGCAGAGCACCCAGCGAGAUGCGGAGGCUCCCGCUGAGCUUGUUGUGGGAGAGGAGCAGGUGCCUCAGCCAGGGGCUCGCCGUGGAGUUGUCCAGCGGCGGGAGGGUGCCGGACAGGGAGUUGUUCCUGACGGCGAGCGCCCUGAUCCGGCCGAGCCCGAGGAGCGGCGCCACGGCGCCGGACAGCGAGGCGCCGUCCAGGAAGACCCCCGCCACCCUGCCCCUGUAGCACCUGACCCCGAACCACGUGCCGGAGCACGGGUUGGGGCCGACCCACGACGCCAGGGCCGUGGCGUUCGGGUUGUACGCCUUGAAGGAGAGCAGCGCGCGGAGGUCCUGGUGGGCGCCAUUGACAUAGUCACCGUGCACAUGGCGUGUCGAUAGGUAGACGAAGACGGCGAGGAGCAGUAGCACGGAGGAGCAAUGGUAGAAAUGAGGCAUUUUGGUUUGUAAGCUGUUUUCACCUGUGUUUGAGUUUGACUGAGAAAUCGGCGAGCUGAGGUUUAUAGUAUAGCGCGGCGGCGGUGACAAUUAUCUGCGCGGGCAACGGGGCAAGUAGUAGAAAUUUUUGAAAAAAGCACACGGGUAGAGCCGCAGAACGACGACAGGCACUGGGGUCCAAAACGGAAAGCUUGGUAGCAGUGCCGUCGUCCUGUACUAUGUCAUGUGUUGAGAGGUGAAAGUGGAAAGGGACGCCAUGGACGACAGGAGGAGAGGUCCAAGCGGAUGGGGGCGAGGUGGGAGGCGACAAGUGCCUUUUUCGUCGUCGCCGUUGGGCAGAAGGAUCUUGGACGUAUUCGGUGGGCUGAACAUAGGUCGCCGUGAUGGUCGCCGGGAGAUACUGGUGCUCCUUCUACUUUUUUUACGGGAACGGCUGAAAGGAAGCGAGAGGGCUCGGGGUUCCAUGGCGCGUGGUGUAUCGGGGUCGGUCACGAGCGUGCCGAGGGGGACGGACGUUGGCGUCAGGUGGCGCACCACCGCACCAGCAGUAGGUAGAAGACAAGAUGGUGAGAUUCCGCCAGCUGCACGUUGCACUAGUUUCAGUGUUUCACUUUCACCGCGAACCAGACAGAGCACCGAGCUGGGUUCAGAUGUCAGGGCAUUCGUUCACGCAGUGGGCCAGUCAGUAUCUGGUCAUGGAGCUAGCUGAUUAGCCUCCCUACUACAAUGCUCAAUUGAAACACAAUCAAAACCAUGCCACAUAAUAUUAAAUUCAUCAUAGAUGGCCACAGCAGCCAUCGACAAGAAGCUGUCAUCUCUCAUCGUCUCCAACACUUGGCAGUGAAUUGAACAAGAGGCCAGUUCCUCCUAAUAUGCAGGACUUAAGAGCAUAUCUAAGAAUCUUUCUAAAUCUCACCCUAUAAAUCAUCAUUUAGAGAGUUAUUUGCAUAAAAAUUAUUUUCUAUAUCUUUUCACUCUUUAAUAGUUUUUUAUUUUUCAUGCGCAUGUCGGAGAAUCAUUCUCGUCUUUUAUUUUUGCCUAGCGAAAAAUCUCCAUAGCAUUUAGGAAGGAUAUGGAGAGUCUCUUCGAUAUGCUCAGUAAUCAUCCUCGUAGGCCAAUCGCUUCCGCCAUAGCAACAUCUAUUACAUGAUCUGUAAAUUUAUUCGAAAAGCAAGAGCCCUGUCUCACCAAAAGACACGCUCGGGCACUUCACACACGUGGCUUCGCAAGCCGCUAGCUCCUAGGUCCACGAUGAAAUGUACAAAUAUGACUAGAGGGGGUGAAUAGCCUAUUUAAAAAUUUCACAAAAACACUAGAGCAAGAGGUUAGUAAAUAACAAAGCGAAACUUUUUGCUCUAGCUCUAAAGGGUGUUUGUAAGCCACCUACCCAACAAAUUCUAGAUGCUAUGAUCACUAUGCACACAAGAACUAAGUCUCUACUUACACUAGAGAGCUACCUAAAGUUUCUAUACAAGAAGUAAGCUACUCUAGUUUGCAAGAAAGUAAGAGAUAGUGUUUGAUCUUUAUACCACCACGUAGAGGGGAUGAACCAAUCACAAUAUUAUGAAGUCCAAUCACCGGGAGAAAUCCAAUCAACAAACACAAUGGAGACACAAGAUUUUUCUCCCGAGGUUCACGUACUUGCCGGCACGCUACGUCCCCGUUGUGUCGACCAACACUUGGUGGUUCGGUGGCUAAGAGGUGUAGCACGAACCUCGUCCUCACUAGGACACCACAAGAACCUACCCACAAGUGAGGUAACUCAAUGACACGAGCAAUCCACUAAUGUUGCCUUUGGCUCUUCGCCGAGGUAGGCACAAACCUCUCACAAUCACCGGGGGAUGGCCACGAACAAUCACCAACUCGUGUCAAUCCUCUUACGCUGCUCCAAGCCGUCUAGGUGGCGGCAACCACCAAGAGUAACAAGAAAACCGCAGCUAGAACGAUUCCCAAGUGCCACUAGAUGCAAUCACUCAAGCAAAUGCACUUGGAAUCACUCCCAAUCUCACAAAGAUGUAUAAUCUAUGAAGGAGAUGAGAGGGAGGUGUAUGCUUAGGCUCACAAGGAUGUCAAGUAUGUUAGAAUGCCAAGAGAGUAAGCCCCAACCCAGCCAAACACGUAUAUAUAGCCCCUCAAACAAAUAGAGCCGUUGGCUCUUUCACUGGGCAAACUGCGGGGUCACCGGAUGCUCUUAAAGGGGCACCGGACGCUCAACACCAGCGUCCGGUGCUCCAACGUCAGCCACGUGUCGUCUUUUGAAACGCUCGUAUCAGAGUCUAACGGUCACCUGCAGCCGGACGCUGAGCAAGUUAGCACCGGACUCAUGCGCAGAGAGUUCCGCAAACCUGCGGGGCACCGGACGCUAAGCACCGGUAGCGUCCGGUGCUCACCGGACCCAUGAGCAGAGAGGGUCGCAAAACGCCCGAACACCGGACGCGCACCACCGGACGCUCAAGUCAGCGUCCGGUGCCUAUCGUCCGGUGCCUUACCCUAGCUGGGCCAGGCACUGUCUGCACCGGACGCUCAGACUUAGCGUCCGGUGCCCCAGAAGCCAGCGUCCGGUGAGUGUUUUCUCAGCAAGAAACACUCCCGCGACUUCUCCAAAAUUUCCCACCGGCGCAAUAGAAAAUAUGCACUUCAUUUUCUCAAAAGCGCCGAACCCAUCCUCUCUCUACCUUCCAAACUCCACCUCCUUCUUAAAGUGUGCCAACACCACAAGUGUAAACCAACAAGUGUGCUCGUGUGUUAGCAUUUUCACAAUCAUUUUCUUCGAAGGAGUUAAAUUAGCUCACUAGGUUCUAAAUGCAUGCACAUGAACAAUGACACCUAGUGGCACUUGAUAACCGCUUAGCCAAAGAAUUCCCCUCUUUAUAGUACGGCUAUCUAUCCUAAAUGUGAUCACACCCUUUAUGGUGUCUUGAUCACCAAAACCAAAACCCUAAGUAAUACCUUUGCCUUGAUCUCCAUAGGGUUUUGUUUUUCUCUUUCUUCUUUUCCAAGUUGAGCACUUGAUCAUCUUGUGGUCAUCACCUUCAUCACCAUGAUCAUCACUUGCUCCAUCACUUGGCAUGUACCAACCUCAUUAAGUCUACACACACUUAGUGUAGAGGUUAGUACUAGGAUUUCAUCAAUUAUCCAAAACCAAACUAGGGCUUUCACACGAUACAGGCUUCGUCAUGUUCACAAGUAGCAUGUGCUUUUAUCUCCACAACUAUUGGUUAUACAUGGAGAUGUGUGUACCGCUGAUUGUUCCUCUCAUGUAAUACACCUAUCCUCAUACACAUCCAACAACUGAGCGGAUAGGGGCACAUGUCCUAAGGGCAUAUUUAACUUUACCAAUUAUAAGGACAUAGUCUUCUUUUUUGUCAUUUGGGACAUGUGCUCUCAUCUCCACAACCAUUGGAUGUGCCCAAAGUUGUUGGAGAGGGACAAUUGCAAAUCCCAUGCACAUCCAACAAUUGUGGAGAUAGCGACACAUGCACUCAAAGAAAUAUUUAACUUUCACCCUCAUUGUGUUGUUGGAUUUGAUAUUGUAAAGAGACGGACUGGUUAGCACAUCGCUACCCCAAAAUUGAGCUUCGUUGGGAACGGUCUAUCCGUUGUGGCCGUGUCGACGGCCGCAAGCAUAACAAACACAAGGGAAGCCUAUGAAAUAUAUAUGCUACUCCUUCCUCUGGUAUCUAUUCACGCUGAGCUGUCAGCAAGCGAAGCCGUGCUCAUUCAAGCAAGGAUGCGAUGCACCAACUUUGCUAGGUGCACGACAUCACCAGUUCACUCACCAUGGAGUUUUUUCUUGGUUGUAGUGGCACUGUGUCUUGACCUUGGUGCGUCCUCGGCCGACCGUGUGGACACUUCAAGACGCAGGAGCCUGCUGCUCAUAACCAGGCCGUGGAGAAUUCUUGUCGGCUCUAAAAAUUCGUGUCGGUUUUUAAACAAGUGACGGGAAUAAAGAUAACUCAUGUCACCUUCCAAAUUCAGUCUGGAAAACCCAGGCUAUUUUUAGUGGGCCCAUCCAUGAAUUGGAAUAGUAUAUAAAGGAAAUCCAAAACCCUAGGGCCUAGGCCCAUUUGCUUAACACGGCCCGUGACCGCGAAGCAUUAACCUCUAGCUAUAUAAGGCGUCGUCCCUUCUGUUUUGGUACAGGCUCUACCGCAGCCGCCACCGUCGCCCCUCUCCCUGCAUCGCCCUCACUCAGCCUCACCUAAAUCCACCACUGCACCCCUCUCCUCCUCUCCAUCCGCCGCCACCACCCCCUCGGUCUACACGUGCUGGUGCCAGCCCCUCUGACAGCUUUAGCUCAAGCAGAUCCACUCACGACGUCGCUUCCCCUCACACACCAAGCCGAAGGCCACAAGAAGAGAGUGGAUCUGUUGUUGAUUUAAAGAGGAGGUGGAGGUUUGCUGCCAUAGAAGGGAGAAGAAGAUCUUGCUGCAAGAGGUCAAAGGAGGAACAAGAAAGGCAAAGGAAGAAGUUUCCUUAAACCCUAAGAGGUGAUUAAUACAUCCCCUUGCAUUUUUCUUCUUGGUACCAAAGCAUUCAUUGUGCAUUAGGAAACUCUAGCAUGUCUGCAAUGUAUAUUCACUGGUGUAGGAAUGAAUUUGAUUAUGGAAUAUUAGCAGUUGCUAGUUGUAAAUGGCAAAAAAAUAAAAACAAAUAGAACACUGACUUUUUAAUAGCUUAGCUCUUAUAACUUAACUUAUAUAGUAGCUACGCACUUAGUUAUAUUAUGGACCUUGCUCUUAGGUUUCAUGUCAGUGUACACUGUUGCUAAGGGUAUUUGAAACUGGAAACCUGUAUUAAUACCUGGAAUAAUAAAAAAACCCCGGCGUGAGCAAUUGUCAGUCUUUUGAUCCUAACACCACGAAAGAUUUGACUGCUUUUUACCAGCCUAAAACUAUGAAUGAAAUUUGUUGUUCAUUCCUCAUCUAAACUACUCAAGGUAACCAUACUCAAGGUUGCCUGCGCUUCGAGUGCAGGGCACCGGAGUAUGUCGCCACCGCGACAGGAGAACAGGAGGCAGGUGAUCGUCAAGGCCGAACCUGUUCCCUCGAUCACGCUCAAGGUGCUUGACCAGCAGAGUCGCAGGGCCUUCCACACCAUGAGGAUGAACGACAGGCUGCAGGGCGUCAUGGAUGCCUAUUACAAGAAGGUGUCCGACGACGUGACCUACGGCACCGGGAUCUUCAUGUUCGAUGGCUCCGUCCGGCUGCGGGGCUGCAACACGCCGGCGGAGCUCGAUCUGAAUGAUGGUGAUCAGAUCGAGUUCUUCGAGUCCAUGAUUGGCGGCGGAUGCAUGGGUUGAUGCUUGCGUUUAAGUACAUCAUUACUUGUGUUGCUUGCGUUUAAGACUUUUGAGUAGUAUUGCUGUCAAGUUUGUUAUAAUGGUUACCUGCACCAUAACGUAUCAUCCUUAUACUAUGCUUGUAAUGAUGCAGUCGUGAUUUUUUUAUCUUAAUUUAUCUUCCCGGUUUACCUUCUGAUUGCUACUGUCAAACUUUUUUUCAAAUCCGAAUUGAACAGGAAUGACAGUAUAGCACUGUUACUCUGUUAGAGAUGGGAUGGUAAAGAAUGGGAUUGGUAGAGUUUACACUGUAUCUCUCUCCGAUUUACAAGUUUACUGCUACAAGAGCUCCUCACGAAGGCUGGAGGCCUGGAGCUCGCCGCCGGCAUCCUGGCCGGUGGCCGCCAACGCCACCAGAAACACUCUCCAAAAGCCAAAACGUAACCGAGUUAUACGUACUGUAUUCCCUUCUCUAGCAUAUACAGACUCUCCAAUUUAGUUGCUCACCCAAUCCCAGAUAGCGCCCUUAGGCUUACUUUGGCAGCACAGGUAAAUUAAUCACGGGAAAAAUAGUCACGCGCGUGGAAUUUUUUUGACAUUUGAUUCUCACUACCAUCUCUGAGAAGAUAUACAUGCGGGGGGGGGGGGGGGGGGGGGGUUUGCUGUGGCUGUUUGGCAUCCCGUUGCAAAGGACUCACGAGGGAUUCAGCUGUGCUGUUUGGUUUCUCUAGUGCUGCUUGUCACCAUUGAACAAUUGAAAACAAUAUCUCAAAAAAUCAUAAAAAAUCAAGAAAAACAGAAAAUAUUAAAUAAUAUAAGACAUUCACCAGCAGUGUUAGAACCACAAACCAGGAAAAACUCAGGACUAAGUCUCUAUACAAAUACAUAAUUCAAGUCUAAAAUCAUGUCAACCAGGUUAUAGUAUCAGUAAUAGCUAGCAUGAAUACAGAUGGUUUCCAUGCUUUACAUCCAGUACACAGACAUAAACUAGGUUAUAUGAACUGAAAGCUAAAAUCUGCACCAAUAUUUAAAUUAGCCCUCCAGCUCACACCAAUAUAUUACAUAGACAACAGCAGCAUAAAAAAUGGACAAAUAGUAGGUGCAUGUAUAUAAAAAAUGAUAGACAUGAAGAGCAAAAUCUAUCUAUGAUCUUGAACGUUUCUCAGAUGCUAAUUAUGAAGGCCACUUCACUUUUCUCUGAUCAUGUGUUGCUUCUACCGGUCCUGUAUAAGUAACACAAAAGAAAUGGUGAGUUCCAAGAAUAUGCAGCAGAACAACGUGAAGUGUCAUGCUUGAUACACAUUUCAUAUCAUGAACUGGUGAGUUGCAUGCAUAUCUCCCUUAUCUUUGUACAAAUAAAAUGGUCAAAACAAGGGGCUCACUCACCUCUCUAUCACAAGAUAUAGAAAGCUGAGACAUACUACACAUAUAGCAUUCUAUUCUAGAGAGAGCUAUUAGCAAACCUGAUUAUAGACAUUUUAGAGAGAGAGCUAUUAGCAAAUGUAGUAUAUUUAUUAAUUAUAAGCAUUAAAACUGAACCAAACUGAACUCUAGUGCAGCAAAAUACCUCUAUAGGGGCUAGCAAGAGCUGACCGAAAUGGUUCAAACUCUGCUGCGGCAAAAUACCUCUACAGAUGUCAAUUGUCAGCUAGAUGUCUUCAGCGACAAAGUUGCAGUGAGCAGACAGAUUGUGGCAGGGAAAAUCGUUGCGUGGUUUCUCGGCGCGGGGAAAUCACGGGGAACCCUCCGGAAUCCCGUGCUGCCUCUUUGGAAGCACACCCACGCGGGGACAGCAGCCUGUUUCCCUUCAUUUUCCACGCGGAAGAAAUCCAGGAGUCAUGCGGCCGGGAGCGUUUCCUCUUCCCUGACCCCGUCGCUCGCUCGACGACUCACGAGGGGGCAGCCGCCGCCGCCACCGUCGCCAUCACCCCGGCGGCUCAUGGUCGACGCGUCGCUCUUGUCGUGCAUCUCCCGGUGGCCGGCAACUGGUGUGCAUCUCCUGGUUCCCGGCGAUGCAUCUCUCGCGAAUCGCGAUCGUGCCACUGCCGCCGCAAGAUCCACAUCUCGGAGCAGCACCUCCACCUCCACCUCAGCCCCGUCCUCCUAGCAGGGCAAAAUCUCGUAGAUCUUGGGGUGACCGAGCUGCCGUAUCCUCCUCCAUACUCCAACAUCCAUGGAGAAGCGUCGUGCCACCGAGCCUAUCUCCAUACCUCACUCAGCCGAAGCGUGGUGAGCAUGCACCCUAUCAUUCUUGUUGGUGGCUGUGAAAAGGAGUGGGGUAUCUGGUACCUCAUGGCUUUGUAUUUUUGUGAUAUUGUUCGGUGAUUUUGCUAAAUCUGUGAUUCAUGUCUACCCGAUUAGAAAGAUUUCCCUGGUAAUUUUAUUCAUGCUCAUAAGUAUGCAGGUUGGGUAUUGCAAAAUUUGUGAUUAUUGUGUCUAGACGAUUCAGCGAGCAAUUAGUUUAUGUUCUAUCGUAAAUUUAAGAAAAAAAUACCUUUACAUAGAUUUCUUGAUCAGCUAAAAGUUUCAGUAACCAAUAUACAGUAAAAUAGAAAUACUGCACUUCAUAACAUAACAGUCCAAGAAGUUGACACUUCAUGAGACCCAAGCUGGAAGGAUCCCAAUUAGCCAGUGCUAUGAGAUAGUGCAACAUGGUGAGUUUGAUAUAUAUAUAUAGGAGAUUGCUUGUUGUGCUUCACUGCAUUUGCAUAGGUCCUGUGAUGACAUGUUAAUAUUUUUAAUUUUUCUAAUUUUAAGUGAAUCAUACUACUGUUCUAGCAGUGUGAUUAGUCUAAAAGUGAAUCAUACAAAUGCAGUGCCAGUAAUUGAUGCUGGAGAUGGCGUGCAUGUGUCUUCAGGUGCAUCAACAAAUGUCGUUGCUGAAGAUGAAGGAGCAGGUGAUAAAUUGAGUUAAAAUUUCAGUUUUAGUUUCAGGUUCAGGUUUAGUUAAAUUUAGUUGCAGCAAUUAGGAUCAAGUUCAGGUUUAGUUCAAUUUAGUAGUCUUAGUACACUCUAAUGGGUAAAGGUUCAGGUUCAAUUUAGCAAUCAGGUUCAGGUUCAGUUAUCUUUUUAAGUCUAUUUAGUUGCACAGACCAAUAUUAACAAUUAGGUUCAGGUUCAGGUACUGUAGUCUGUAGAUUGUCCCUGGAAUUUGAGUACUGAUUCUGAUUGCUCAUAGCAGAGUAUGAGAACAAACAUUGGAGUAUAUGAUGAGCUUCCUUUUUCAAAAAGGAAAUGCAGUUUUAAUCAUUUUAGGAAAUGCAACUUUAAUUAUUAUUUUACUGUAGUCUGUAGAUUGUCCCUGGAAUUUCAGUGAUUGUUCCUCGUUCUCCCAAAUAAUGUUGAUGGGCUGUCCAACAAUAAUUUCUUUUUUUAGAGGAAGCAAUAAAUUCUUUACAUCUUGUGUAGGGACAGUUAUGAAAAGGAGCUGUUGUUUGAGUUUAGUAGAUGCUCUGGUUCUGCUAGCUGCUUGCUACUUCUAGUAUGACCAGUACUCUAGAAUUAGAUUGGUUUGUGUGGCAGAUACAAAACUAUGUCUAAAUUUAUGUGUUCUAGCUAACUACUAGUAUGACCAGUACUACCGCACAUUUUGUGUUUUAGUUUUCAGCUUCAAAAAGGGUGCUGUAUUUUUAACACUUGUUUUUUUAAUCGCCUUCUGCUAUAGGGUCACCGGAAUUCUGCUCACUGCAACUUUGUCGCUGAAGACAUCUAGCUGACAAUUGACAUCUAUAGAGGUAUUUUGCCGCAGCAGAGUUUGAACCAUUUCGGUCAGCUCUUGCUAGCCCCUAUAGAGGUAUUUUGCUGCACUAGAGUUCAGUUUGGUUCAGUUUUAAUGCUUAUAAUUAAUAAAUAUACUACAUUUGCUAAUAGCUCUCUCUCUAAAAUGUCUAUAAUCAGGUUUGCUAAUAGCUCUCUCUAGAACAGAAUGCUAUAUGUGUAGUAUGUCUCAGCCUUCUAUAUCUUGUGAUAGAGAGGUGAGUGAGCCCCUUGUUUUGACCAUUUUAUUUGUACAAAGAUAAGGGAGAUAUGCAUGCAACUCACCAGUUCAUGAUAUGAAAUGUGUAUCAAGCAUGACACUUCACGUUGUUCUGCUGCAUAUUCUUGGAAGUCACCAUUUCUUUUGUGUUACUUAUACAGGACCGGUGGAAGCAACACAUGAUCAGAGAAAAGUGAAGUGGCCUUCAUAAUUAGCAUCUGAGAAACGUUCAAGAUCAUAGAUAGAUUUUGCUCUUCAUGUCUAUCAUUUUUUAUAUACAUGCACCUACUAUUUGUCCAUUUUUUAUGCUGUUGUUGUCUAUGUAAUAUAUUGGUGUGAGCUGGAGGGCUAAUUUAAAUAUUGGUGCAGAUUUUAGCUUUCAGUGUGUAUUGGAUGUAAAGCAUGGAAACCAUCUGUAUUCAUGCUAGCUAUUACUGAUACUAUAACCUGGUUGACAUGAUUUUAGACUUGAAUUAUGUAUUUGUAUAGAGACUUAGUCCUGAGUUUUUCCUGGUUUGUGGUUCUAACACUGCUGGUGAAUGUCUUAUAUUAUUUAAUAUUUUCUGUUUUUCUUGAUUUUUUAUGAUUUUUUGAGAUAUUGUUUUCAAUUGUUCAAUGGUGACAAGCAGCACUAGAGAAACCAAACAGGAUGCCAAAUAGCCACAGCAAAACUCCUCCCCCCCGCGCAUGUAUAUCUCCCCAGAGAUGGUAGUGGGAAUCAAAUGUCAAAAAAAUUCCACGUGCGUGACUAUUUUCCCCGUGAUUAAUUUACCUGUGCUGCCAAAGUAAGCCUAGUAUUCCCCAUUUUCCUGGAGUCGGUUCCCCUCAUUUUCCCUAGCAACUGGCAAGCUCUUAAAGUAGACCCAUCCACUUUUUUUUUUCUUUUUUGCAUCGUUUCUGUCUUUCCUAAAGUCAGAAGAUCUGGUGUGACUACAUAAUUUUGGCAAGAGCUAGAAGAGACAGUUGGAUUGGUGUUUUGGACAUAGCCUACAUAUCAAUGAUACCAUUCACUUGCUCGGCACGUUUUUUUUACUUCUAUUCUCUCUCAUGGUCCGGUCCUUCACUCUUGUUGGUACAGUGUAGUAUAGCCAUUUAAGAUUGAAAUUUGACUCGUACGUUAAUAGAAAAAAAGGAACCUUGACAUGGUUAUUUCGAACUAUUGCAUUGUCAUGAUCAUGCGAAUUAUCACUCACUUAGGCCUUGUUUGAAUACACGUGCAUUUAUCUUAAUCUAUAUGUUGAAGUGGAUUGAAGUAGAAUUAAACUAUGUUUCAUUUCAAUUCACUCCAACACAUGUGAAUUGAAGUUGAUACAUAUGUAUUCAAAUAAGACCUUAGCUGAAUCAAAGGACGCGAGAGAGAUUUUGCCUCUCCACUCACCACCGCCUCGUACUUGCCAUUCUCUUUGUCGCCCGUUCGAUGCAUCGAUGAUGAGGCAAAAGGUAUAACCUCUUGCGAUCUCAAUAUAGCCACUCACCAAUUUGUUGAACUUGCUCCUGUCGUUGGCCUACUUGACGUGUGCUCUAGAGAUACAAGAGUCUCACAGCUGAGUUAUCGAAGAGCACGUCAAGCAGACCAAGGAUGAGAUCAAAUUCAACAAAGUGGUGAGUGGCAAAGAACAAGUGGGGGAAGGCAUGAACUUGGAUCUCAUCAUCAAUGCAUGGAAUAGAGAUGGGAAGGAUGCCAAGUACGAGGCGGAGUUGCACCUGAGGGAUUGGAUGGACAAACACACUUAUUCUUCAAACCACCUAACUGAGCGACAAUUUGCAUUUUUGUAUCAUCAUGCUACAUCAAGGUUACCGAACACCGAUUCACAUGAUCAUGUUACGUACAAUUAUUUGAAAUAAUUGCCUUUCAAAAAAAUAUUCAAAAUAAUUUGUAAGUGAUCAAAGGUGCUUUUUGUUCCAUGAUAUGUGUUGCCGCACAGAUGACAAAGGUCGUUUGGUUGAGUAAUGACUAAUGAUGUGGUCCUCUAUGCAAUAUUUUUUUGUUUGACACGUUAAGUGAAAUGGGUUGAUCCACAACCACAGCCAACAUCUCACCCUUUACAGACUAGUAUUUAGUAUAUCUCUCAUUACUAGAAUCCUCUUAGGCCCUGUUUGGCACGGCUUCUUUAGCGGCUUCAGGAGCCGUUUGGAGCCGUUUUGUGCCAAACGGGGUAAAAUAGAAUAGCUCCACUAAUGAAGUCUCUAAAAACAUGCUCUCACAGAGCUUUGGAGUAUGAAGGAGCCAAAAAUAGUGGCUUCUUACAGCUUCACCUCAUCCUAUGUGGCAUUAUGUGAGAGCACAUUUUAAGGAAAUAGCUAUUUUGCCAAACGGUUUACCAAAAUGGCUUCAGCUCCACUGAUAGAGCUGUUCAUGGAGCUGAAGCCCUAAAAAACAGCUUCACUGGUGAAGUGGAGCCGUGCCAAACAGGGCCUUAUUUCCGUCUUAGGUAAAGGCUUAGAUACGUUUUCCUAGGGUGGUUCGUUAGCAUUGCUGCCUAGGGAACGAUUUCACAGGGAAAUCAUAAGUGCCAUAGGGUGCCAUUCGAAAACCCUAAGAUAACUACCUUCACCUAUGUACAAGCAUAUAUAUCUAGUAAUAAUACAAUUGCGUCUCGUCUGGCCCCGCUUCUCUUCCCCUAUGUACUUUGAUCUAUACAUAAAAAAUAUCGAGUAUUAUCGCCGUACCGCUCCGCUCCCCUCCGCCUAUGGGGCAUAUAUCUAGUAAUAAUAUAAUUACGUCCCACCAAGGGCCUAUUUAAAUUCAUUAGAGCAUCUUCAAGGGUUUUGCAUUUGGACUUUAUAUUCUUAUAAUUUGCCAAAAAUCAUAAAAAAAAGUAUCCAAUGGUCUUGCAUUUGGAGUUUGCAUUUUAGACAACUUGGCAAAUAAGAGAGCAAACUUGGCAUAUAUGCCAAGCCGCACAUGGCUUGGCAAAAGGCCCAUUGCGCGCAUCUCCCGGUCCCCCACGCGACCUGGACUUUCUUCGCGCCAUAUAUCGCGAUCGCGAGCAACACCAUCGCCGCCGUACGCUACAGAACUCGCGAGGGACUCCAUCGCGACAGUCGGGCUGGCAUCGUGGCGGCACCUGCAACGAGUCGAGUCGCCGCGGCGGCACCUGCAUCGAGCGGUGGGGAGCAUGAAGAACUGGCGGCACGACCUGUGAGGAAAACGCGAGAACCGGCAGCGACUUUACGCGCGCAAAGAAAAGUCGCGCGGGAAGACGAUCGCGAGCGCGCGAAGGAAAAAAAAUCACGGUCGGGUCCACUUUGGCUAAUUGUCAACUCAAUUAUGCAAAACCCUUGGAGAUAGUCUAUUUUUAGACUUUGCAUUUUGUUUUGGAAGUUUGCAAACAACAACAAAUGUCAACUCAAUUAUGCAAAACCCUUGGAGAUGCUCUUAGCUGCUAAUAGUUAGCUAUCUAAUAGAUUAUAACUAUUAUUAGUUGCUAUUAGCUACUUUUUUUGAGGAUUUAGCUACUUUAGUUCAAUUAGUGAAAUAGUUGUUUAUUUAAGUAUUCAGCUAAUAAUUAUAACUAACCAAUUAGCUCAACCUAUUUGGAUCCAAGUAAUUAUUAGCAGCUAACUGCUCUUCAUCCGUUCUAAAUUAUAACUAUGCAUCUAAAUAUAAUAAUAUGUCUAGAUAUGUUGUAAAAUGAAUAGAAAAAUUAAAAUAACUUAUACCAGAUAGAUUAUAAUUUGGAACGAAGGAGUAUCUCCGGGAUCCAAACAACUCGUGCAUGUCCUUUCCUGUCGCGACUGGCGGGCCUUGCUUUUGCUGCACGGACGAGAGGUAGCCCAAAACAAACACGGGCGACGUCAAUUAUUUCUUUUUCUACGAUGAACAAAUAAAAUCCCUCCGCACUUUUAUUUAUUAUAAAUGUAAAUAUAUUUCAGAAAUCAAUAAAAAAUAAUUCUUUCAAAUCUUGUUCAUUUACAUUCACUAAUCAUUUGUACAAUUGUACUCUUGGUAGUAUGGUGUUUCUACUUUACUGACCUUGCAUGGUUGGGAUAAAUCAUAUUAUUCAUGUUCAGUAUGUAGUAUAUUGCAUUUACGAUUCCAAUUUCUCGUUCAGAUUAUUUCCAGUGAUGUUUAUUAUAUUUGUGGUAAUUAUUAAGUAUUUAUAUCUGUUCAAUUAACAUGAAAUUUAGGCAACCUUGUCCAAGUUUUGUUUUGAAUUUUAAAAAUUAUUUUACAAUUUUUUCUUACUUGGUGUCCAAGCUAGAACGGUUGAUGUGUAAAAAAUUCAAAAUACUAGCUCUGCUUUAUUGUCUGAAUUCAUGAACUAUGUUUUCUUGAUUGAAAUUACCUUUAUUGACUAGCUUUACAGCUUUAAUUUGUACACCCAAUUUUAAAAUCGUGCGUCUGCCACUGCUACAGACCUGUUGUUGGGGAAGGGUACGUCGAAUUAGGAGAGCCACAGUGAAAAAAACUACUAGAAGAGAAGAAAGGCACACAAGAUGGUUAUGAGCUAUAGUUGUACUUGAGGCGUGGUUCAGUCUUAAAGAUUAACUCGAUAAAGUACUUGUAUUUGUAUAUUCUUUCCACUAUCACAUGUAACCUCACGGUAAGCUGACUUGAGUUGUGACAGUCAUACAUGUAUAUACUAUCUUGUAACUUGAUCAUGUGAUUUAAGCUAGUGGAGUGCAUAUGAAAUGUGCCUCCAGGGAUUACCGGGUUAAUUCACUUAUACUGAGUUAGUCAAAAGGAUCGAUGAAACCAACUCAGUAUUAGAAAUUGCACACAGGCCAAAUCGCUUCAGGCAUUUAUGAUCAAAUACAGUGUUUUAUCAUCAACAAUUCAAGGGUGUUUGUUUGUGUGUUCAUUAAAAAAGUGUGGAUUUUUGUACACAAGCGCGCGUACGCGGGGAAUACUAGCAGUGCGAAAUCCCACAUGAUUUCGUAUCCCUAUUAUUUUCUCAACUGUUUUGAACAAUAGGAAAAUGAACCUUCUGCGUAGACUAUUAUGCUUCAAUCAAAAUAACGACAAGAAGUGUAAAUGUUGAUGACAAAACGUGCGACUAUUCACAUCUGACGCAUUAGAUCAUCAUUAGAUGCUUAUAGGGGCACGUCCCAAUUCCAGAUAAACCAGAAUAAGGAAUGGACGAUCCAAACGGUGGUAUAUACUCCCUCCAUACUCGAAAUUCUUGACGUUUAGGACAUGAUUAAACAGAGGUAGUUUUCCCUGGUUGCCCUUAUUAAAUAGGAUUCGCAUACCUGCUAUACAACGAGGCAUUAACAGUUGUGUUGGUUCGGUCGUUGGGUGCUAAGGCCAGCAAGCGCAGUUCAAAUCCUCACUUGUGCAAGUUUUUUUUUUCGACUCUAGUUUUGCACAAAAAAAGACUACUGAAAAUAUUUAAUAUACAACAUGUGUUUUACAAUUUCUACUGAGUAGUUAUAUUUGAUUUAGUUCUAAGAAAAAUUGUUUCAUCAUUUUUUUGAUUUUCUAGGAUUUAUUACGCAAAUUUGAAGUCUCUGCAGUUUUGAUGAGUUUUACACGAAGCAGAGAAGCUAACAAGCACUUUGCAUCAGAAACCCUAAACUAUUUCUUAAUCAAUCUAAUUGUUUUUUAUUUUUCUUUCUCUCUAGUACUUUUUCAAUUGGAACCCUCUCUUUUUAUCUAUUGUUGCAAGCUGCUCCUGUCCUCAGUUCACGAAUGGAGAUAACCGUACCGAAGUUCAGCUCGAAGUGCGGCCUCUCGAUUCUCGUCUUCAACUCCGGUAGCAAACAAGUGAGGGAGUCCAGCGGCAUCUCGAUAGAUUUCAGUGUAAUCUCUGACUACAACACCAUGACCAAGUGCAUCUCGACGGAUUCCAGUGCGACCUCUGAGUCCAGCGCCUCGGCCAUUCUGAGGGCGGCGAGGAACGGCGGCGCGACCUCAGAACGAACCAGCGGCGAUGAAGGGCGGCGAGGAAGGCAGUGCGACGCGCUAAUGCUGGACGAGUGAACGGGCCAUGAAGGAAACGAAGCGGCGAUGAAAGACCAUUAAUGCUGCGCGGCGUGCGCGAUUAAUGAAGGCAGCCGAACGGACUCAGGGGUAAAGACGUCCACAGACGGGGUUACACGGCCAGAACGUCAACAUUUACGAAAACGUUCGAGACUCCUAAAACGACAACAAUUUCGAGUAUGGAGGGAGUAUACUACUACUGCAUUCCUGCUUAAUUAAUUCGAUUUUGAAAAAAGUUCGACAGAUGCAUAUAAGACACGAAGAUGUCAAGAUGAUACGGCAUGACUAUAGCGAGUCCUGACGGUACAUACGCAAAUUAAACCCCCGGCCCAUCAGUCUAUCACGCACCGAUCGCGACCCAUCCGCCGCCAAUCAUGACCGGGAAGAACUCGAUCUCAUCACCAUCAUUGAGAUCGAGCUCCGCCGGCGUGUUGCAGCCCCGCAGCCGGACGGAGCCAUCGAACAUGAAGGUCCCGGAGCCGUAGGUCACCUCGCCGGCCGCCUUCUUGUAGUAGGCAUCCAUGACGCCCUGCACUUUGUCGCUCAUCCUCAUGGUGUGGAAGGCCCUGCGACCUUCCUGGUCAAGCACCUUGAGCGUGAUCAAGGGAUCGUCCUCCGGCUCCGUCUUGACGCUCCCCUGCCUCCUGCCCUCCUCUACCGGCGGCGACAUACUCCGGCGGUGAGAGUGGUUAGUAUACGGCGGCUUUUUAUAGCUUCUCACGCGGAUCGGUCAGUCCAAUAAUAAAAAUGGACAAUUCUCGAUCUCCUCGAAACGACGGAGAGCGUGCGUCAUUGGAAUUUGUUUAGCUGCUCGGAAAUUAUUGUAGGCGCAGACUACGAAAAGGUCAAAAUGGCUAGUUGGCUAUAUCCGUCAGAAUUUUUCGAUCGUUGCGAUCAUGCAAACGAGGAUUUCCUUUCCCAUUUUCUUCCCGACGGUUGCCACGCGCAUGGGGGGUUCCCAAUCUGCAUGGAUAGUACAUUCGCCAAAAAAAAAAAAAAAAAUCCUUUUCCGUUGCGCCUUUUCCUUCCCAUUCGUCGCGCUGGUGGAGCUUUAAUCCCGCCUAUCUCUCUAUCGAUAAUUCGAAAUGCAAGAGCAGACUGUUCGGUUUCCAUCCGAGAUAAUCUAACCUUGAUUUUAUAGUUUUUUAAGAAAACCUUGGUUUAUAGGCCUUGUUUCGUUACCUGUUAUAAACUUUAGUUUCUAUCAUAUCGACUGUUUAGAUAUAUGUAUAAAGUAUUAAAUAUAAACUAUUUUACAAGACCAAAAACACAGUUAGAGACCAAAAUUACAAGACGAUUUUUAAGUCUAAUUAGUAUAUAAUUAAUUAAACAUUAAUUGUUAUAGUUACAAAUGUGUUACAGUAUCUAUUAAAUUUUAAUACCUCUAAACAAACAUCCCGACAGUAUGAGGCAUCUGGAGCACCUACAGCUACAGUGUGAACAUCAUUGGUUUUUGGUUGUGACGUCCACCAUCUGCAUAUGUGUGUCCUCAUGCUCAUGCCUCACCAAAUAUUUUAUGACGCACAGCAACUGAACCGUGUUUAAAGUCCAAUUUUGAUUUCUGACGCUAUGGUUCGCAACUUCGCAUGCUCGAGUAUACGUGGUUUCGUUUUCGACCUCGCUCUCUACACCGGAGAUGCUGCCCCGGCCGGUCACCAACUUCACGUGCUCCGACGCCACGACACAGUGACAUUGUACAUCUCGGCUCCUCGGACACACCUUCGUUACCCUCCGAGUCAGUUUGCGGACGUCGGCGUGUUUGUCGAAGACCACCACAAACGACGUGUGUAGAGGCUGGCGGGGCGGCCGGCCGGCGAGCGAGCGCCCUCGUGCAAUUGACGAAGUCCGGCAUGAACAGGUUAUUAGCUCGGUCCUUAUGUUUGAGUUGCUGCCCAAGCCCAACUAGCCUAGGCUGCUAAUGAGCAAGUACUCCCUCCAUAUCAGAAUUAGAUGACGUUUAGGACAUGAUUGUACUUACCAAGGAGUCAUUAAUUAGAGGCUAAUCUUCCAGUUCUGCCCUUAUUAAAUGGAACCGAAGGUGUUUCCUAGACAUGAAAGAUUCUCUUCUCUAUUGGUUACUGGGGCUGGUUUCAAGGCACACAUGAGGCGAGGGCAAGGGUUCGAACCUUGUGGCUUGCGCUUUUGUUCUCUUGGAUGUCACAUUUUGCAUGGUGCUGGAAUUUGCGUUUUUUCCCUGUUGGCGCGAUUUGCAGGCCAGUGUUUGUUUUUUUUAUUCAUCCUUCAUCGGUUCUUAUUUUUUCCCCUUUUUUGCACAGGUUUUGACUUGAACUUGCCAUUAGAUGAGUAUGGUGCGGUGGAUCUCAACUUCUUACAAGGAAACAUUCAUGGUAAGCAUAUUUUUUCCCUAUAUUUAGAUCAUGACGUGGAGUAGCAUGCAGUCCCAAAUGUUUUUUAUUUCCUAUAUUUAGAACAUGGCGUGGAGUAGCAUGGGUCUGUUGCUGCUUGCAUGCGUGGGUCUGUUGCUGCUUGCAUGCGUGGGUCUGUUGCUGCUUGCAUGCUUGCGUCCGUUGGGAGCAGGGACCGAGACGUCGUCUUGAAUGCGAGCAUGCGGCUGCAGCGGAACAGACGGACGGAUGCGACAACAGACCCAAGGGGUAUUCGCGUCAAGUUUAGUGUGUUUAAUCCAGAACGUCAACCUUUAAGAAAAUGGCAUGGGUGCCCAAAACGUCACCUAAUUGAGGUAUGGAGGGAGUAGGGUGGAUGGCAACCUGGAAAUUUUGCCAGUCCACAAAGCCAGGUGUUGAAAACUACGAUAUUUUUGCUUGCUCGUUUGAUGAUAUACUCAACAAUUCAUCAUCGAGCUUCGCUUAUAAUUCUAUACUAGUUCUAGUUCCACAACGAAAGCGACAACAGUAACACAAUAGGAAAAGGAAAACACUACAUUGUCUUCCUUAAAAAAAAUCACAAAAGUCAUAUUUUUCUAUCCAAACCAGAAAACUGGACAUAACUUCUCAUUUAUUUUUUAAACCGGGCAUAUCACCUCCCUAGCUAUUUCUCUAGGUGGUUUCUUUCUUUUUUCUUUUAUAUUUAUUUUGGAUGAUUUUUUUUAAAAAUAUAUAUAAAAUAAAAAACUAAUUUUAUUGGACUCCACAUGACUAGAUCUACAUAGUAAGUAUAUUAAAAAUCUAGCUUUUUACUAAAACAUAUCAAUGUUUAUUGUGUAGAUAUACUUAUGUAGAGUCUAACAAAAACUUCAUGCUUAUGUAUGACUCUGUUAUAGAUCUAAUUCCAUUUAAAAACUAUUUAACAAACGUAAACCUCUACAACUCAAUCACGCAUUAUUCAAUGAGCGUAAAAUUUUUACUACAACUCAAGCAUACAAUGAUUACCUCACCAUAUAAAAACACCACAAUUGGAUGAGAGAAAUAACAGCUAUGAAUUAAUUAUAAAAAAUACAAAUAUAAAGUUACAACAAAAACUUUACACUAAAGCAUAUGUAUUAUAUAUUUACUAUGUAGAACUAGGGAGCGUAUGCUAUAAAAACCAACUAGAUAUGCAAACUAUGCAAACUCUAAUUAAGCGCACACGAUUCUAAUCCGAUAGGUUCUGGUGGAGGUGGGACAAUUAAGCACUUAAAUCCUUCUACCAAUCCAAUCUUUUUUUUUCAACUCACCGAGGCAGCGAUCGCUAACGUGACUCAGUCAGGAAACCGUAUUUGUUUUUCUUCUAAACCAACGUUGUUUCCAACUUUCCUGUCCACGUCCUUUUCCUAUUUCUUUUGUUUUUGUUUUGUUCGUUUGUUCAUCCCGACGUUCAGUUGUGUACGUGACUUUUGACUUUUUCUCUCUCUCAUACUUAAUUUUGUAAAAAACAGUAAAUAUAUCAUGGGUGUUCAAACUCUUUAUCCUUAUGUGAUAAACCAAUUCGUUGAUAACUAAAAUCUUGAAUAACUUAUCAUCCAUCUAAUCUAUAUCUAUAUAACUAUGUUCAAAUCUUCUUUUUUAUCUCCCAUUUUUUCUUAUAAAUUGAAAAAAAUAAAUAAAAUGGCCAUCAAUGUUUACGUUCAAACAUACCAGGGAAGAAUCGGUCUCAAUGGUGACUGAUGUGCAUGGCACUGUGCCGGUUGUGAUUGAUGAAACUUGCUGCUGCCUGAGGACGGCGGCGGCGGCGUCGUACAGGAGGCGAACGGAGCGAUCGUUGUCUGGGUGAGUUGAAAAAAAUAAAAUUGAAUUGGUGGGAGGGUUUAAGUGCUUAAUUGUCCCACCUCCACUAGAAGUCAUCGGAUUAGAAUCGUGUGUGCUUAAUUAGAGUUUGCAUAGUUUACAUAUACGCUCCCAUAGAACUAAUAAUGUAGAGCCAAUACAAUUAGAUUUUUCUAUUUUAUGAUUUUUCAAAGAUUCAACCAAAAUAAAUAUAAAAGAAAAAUCACCAACGGAAACAGCCAUAGAGAUAAAGUUACCCGUUUUAAGAGAUGAGGACGAACUAUGUCUAGUUUUAGAGUUAAGGAAAAAAAAACUGACUUUCGUGAUAGUUUAUGGAGACAAAAUGAACUUUUUUCCGCUUCCUCACAGCAAUUUCUAAGUUGGGACAGAAAAGAUUUUGGCCCAAAUUCAACAGGGGCAGCUUGCGCCAUAAAAAGCACACAGGCACAUGACGCUUGAUUGGGCCACGUCGAUGAUUGAUGAUUUUGCUUGUUGCUCAAUCGAUCGAUCUGCAUACCAGAAGCAAGGAAAGCCAAGCCUCUCCGCCGCCGCGGCGCCACCGCGAUGUGGUUCAACUCCCGCAGCGAACCCAACGCCGACGCCGAUCCCCGACCUCAAGGUUCCUGUAACCGAGCCCUAGCCUCUGCCAUCACAGCCGCCACUUCAUCCUCCUCGUGCGACCUCGGCAGCGGAUGGGGCUCCAGAGGCGGCGGCGGCGGCUUCCUGUCGUGGAUCUUCUCCGCGGGCGUGGCGCGCGCCCACGAGCACGAAGGGAAGCCGCAGGCCGGGGACUGGGACGCGCACGGGCUCCCGGUCACCCGCACGCCAGUAACGCUCUCCAGGCUCGACGGGAGGAAGAGGUACAAGGUAUCCGAGCUCAACUUCCUCGACCGCCGCGCCCGCACCACCGAGGCCAGCGCCGGAGAGAAAGAGAAGACGUCGACCCCCUUGUUCGACGACAUGACCACGCUUCGGUCUGGCGGCGUGUACACCCGGUUGCAGCUGCACGAUGAGCUCCAGACGAUGACGUCUUCCGGCAUGUUCGAGCAGGUCAGCCUCCAGGGCAAGCCCAAGCCGGACGGCACUCUCGCGCUCACCGUCACCUACGCCGAGAGCGUCUGGCCUGGAGCCGUCAAACGGCUCAAGUUCGUCAACGUGGGGCUCAUGCCGCCGCUUGGCGACGGACCUGACGACGACAUGACGGCAAGGGAGAAGAUGGACUACUUCCGCAGGCAGGAGCGCGACUACAAGCAGCGCGUCCGCCGCGCCAAACAGUGCAUACUGCCGCAGUCGGUGCGUCAGGAGGUGCUGGGGAUGGUGAAGAAGCAGGGGAAGUUGACCGCCGGGCUGCUACGGAGGAUCAGGGACCACGUCGAGAAGUGGUACCACGACGAGGGCUUUGUGUUCGCCCAGGUGCAGAACUUCGGCAACCUCGACUCGGACGAGAUUGUGCUCGAGGUGGCAGAGGGGGACAUUACCAAGGUGGAGUACCAGUUUCACGACAAGCUCGACAAUAUCAUAGAGGGAAACACUAGCAUUGCCAUCAUUGACCGGGAGCUGCCCCAGCAGGUAUAUACAGUACAGUAUAAGUUAUUUUGCUUACACUAUUACCUCCAUGGUUAUUGGUUAAUUAGAAUGUCUCAUUGCAGAUGGUUGUGAAUCUAUGGUUUUUCGUUUAAUGCGCCAUGAAUUGAUUGGUUGACAUAUUCGAUUAUGAUCCUCCAAAACAUUUUAUUGCACACCAACAAAGUUUGACUUGUGCCUUUCUUAUUUCUAUGAACAGCUUGGUCCUGGCCACAUCUAUAACCUAGGGGCGGGGAAACAAGCUCUACAGAGCAUCAAUUCACUGUCUUUGUUCUCAAAUAUAGAAUUGACUCCUCGCCCUGAUGAGACGAAACAAGGGGGUAUAGUGGUUAACAUCAAACUCAAGGAGCAUGAACCAAAAUCAGCACAAGUAACAACAGAGUGGAGCAUAGUGCCUGGACAUCAAGGACUGCCAACUCUGGUUGUGUACAAUUUAUCUUUGUCUGCAGAAUCGUUACUUAAUACUCUGUACAACAUUAUGAAUAUAAACCACGUAUCAUUUUAAGUCCUCUGAGGUCUGACAUAACCUCAUAUCUCGUGGAUACUUUCUGUUAGGCAUCCAUUCAACCUGGAGGGACUGUUUCGUUUGAGCACCGCAACAUCUCUGGUUUAAACAGAUCUCUAGUUGGUUCUGUUACAUCCAACAACUUGCUCAACCCUCAGGUGAGUUGGUAGUGGGGUUUUCCUUCUUUUUUUCUUUGAUGUGUGUUGCUUUGGGUUUAUUGUUACAUCUAUUAUUUGCUGCAACCUACUUAUAUUUAAUUACUUGAGUGUAAUGUGUAUGUUAUAACUGUCUCUGUCUAGUGUGUACACACAUUUAUAAAUUGCAUAAUGUUCAACUCAUACUUUAAUUAACAUCCGUGCUAUGUGUGUGUAUGUUUAACUUAGUUGAAUAUAUCUUAUGUGUUGCAAAAUAAAACAGCAAUUAGUAUCAAUUUUCAUUGUACUACAAUCUGAAAGAAGCAAUUAUAUACUCCCUCAAUCCCAAAUUAUAAGGCAUUCCAAGAAUUUUGGAGAGUCAAAGCGUUUAAUCAAAUUUAUAUGAUAAGAUAAAAACAUUUAUAAUAUUAACUAAGUAUCAUUAGGUUCUUCAUUAGCUAUAUUUUCAUAUUAUACCUAUUGGAUGUCAUAAAUCUUUAAAAUUUUUUCUAUAAUUUUAGUAAAAUUUAAGAUAUUUUGACUCUCCAAAAUUCUUGGAAUGUCUUGUAAUUUGGGAUGGAGGGAGUACCAUGUUUCACAACAAAAGAAAAUUUAUUGGAGAAAUUUUGCUCGCAUGGUUUUCAAGGCAUGUUUGAAUUUUUGUUUCAUAAUCAGGAAACAUCAGCUAGAUUCAUAUAUUUCUACGGGUUUCUUCCAAUUCGUCUUUACUCUUUAAUAAGAUAGCUGAGCAUACUCCAUUCUUGAGAUGAAUCUCUUUAGUUUUUUGGCCUGGUACCUAGCCACUUACACACUCUUGUGAUGACAUUCAAUGCACAUGCACUCAUCCAUGUUCCUUUGUGGGGGGUAUUAGGGUGAUCUGUCGUUCAGGCUUGAGUAUGCACAUCCAUAUCUGGAUGGUGUGGAGAACCGCAGUAGAAACCGCACCUUCAAAGCUAGCUGCUUCAACAGCAAGAAAUUAAGCCCUGUCUUCGUUGCUGGUCCCAACAUGGAUGAAGCUCCACCUAUCUGGAUCGACAGAGUUGGAUUUAAAGCCAAUAUAACAGAGGUUUGCAUAGAUUGUUAUUACCUUCUAGAUAUUUUGAUUUAGAUUAACAGCUAUUUCAAGAUACAUGAGGAAGCUGUUUGGAUUCUCAGAACCUCACAAGGCAGAGCAAAUUCACAUAUGGGCUCGUGGUGGAAGAGAUUACAACACGCGAUGAAGAUAACAACAUAUGUACACAUGGUGCUCGAGUAUUGCCUGGUGGCGCCUUGAGCAUGGAUGGACCUCCGACAACCUUCAGUGGUACUGGUGUUGAUCGAAUGGCAUUUCUACAAGCUAAUAUAACUCGAGACAAUACAGAGUUCGUAAAUGGUGCAACAAUCGGAAACAGAUGUAUAUUCCAGGUGUGCUAAUAUUCCAUUUUUUUGUCUGAUUUUCAUAGCAUAAUUAGUGUUCAAUUAUUCCUGUGUGUUUUGAAUCAAAUAAAACUCAGUACCUCACUGGCUCACUGUGUGUAAAAUGACAAAGGAAGAAUGGGAGACUCUUUACAUAAUUGUUUUUGUUUUUCGCUUUGAUAUUUGUUUUCAUUUGGGACUGGUGCAGAGUUUAUAAUAUUGAAUACUCAGGCACAUUUUAACAAAUGUUGUCACUAUAAUCGCUUUAGUAUAUGUUUUGGGCAAAGGAAAGUUUGCCUUUUCUAGCUUAUAUGUUACAAAAAAAAAAUCUCUGGAGAACCGGAUCAAUGGCGCAAUGGUAGCGCGUCUGAACCGGAUCCAUGGCGCAAUGGUAGCGCGUCAAUCCAGAUCAGAAAGUUGCUAAAAAUGUGCACCAUGUUAAAAAAAAACUGAUCACUGGAGAGUGCUCACGGUGCGCAGGUUGCUGUUUUGUAGUAGUCUGGGUCUGCUGGGGAGUGCCUAAACUCUAGUGCUCUUAUUUUCUUCUUGUGUUUGUGUUUUUUUCUUCAGCUGUGUUUGGCUUCGGUGGGCUCUUGGUUAGCUUUGGCUGACCACGGCUUGUGUUGAUCACUUUGUUGCUUCUCUUGCAUUGCUUCCUGCUUAAUGAAAUACGUGACUUGCACGAUCUAAAAAAAACAAUACCCUCGAUUCACGUUGGGUUCAAAGCCCCGAUCCCAGUCUGUAUUUUUUUUAAAAAAAAAAUGAUAUCUGGAAUAAUUCAAUAGCACCAUGUGUAGUAAUUUUCUUGUUGGUUUGCAGUUGGACCAAGGUCUCGGCAUCGGAAGCAAAAAACCAUUCUUCAACCGUCAUCAGCUCACGGUGACAAAGUUCAUUAAUCUGAAUAAGCUUCUGAAUAAGCAAAAGAAAGGUGCUGGGAAGCCACCACCAGCUGUUUUGAAUCAGCAAGAGAAAGGUGGUGGGAAACCACCACCAGCUGUUUUGAGUAAGCAAGAGAAAGGUGCUGGGAAGCCACCACCGGCUGUUUUGGCACUCCACGGUCGUUACGCAGGCUGUGUUGGAGAUCUGCCGAGCUACGAUGCAUUUGCACUUGGCGGACCUCACUCCGUUAGGGGCUACGGCAUGGGGGAACUGGGUGCUUCCAGAAAUCUUCUUGAGGCGAGUAUCAAUCCUCUUGGGGAUUUGGCGUUCCUGAAAUAUGACGCAUCAUUUUUCAUCUCUGUUCAUGCCAUAGUCUUGGGAGUUUUUGUUUUGCUUUUCUUCGGAUUUGUUUUCAAAAUUGUAUGUCCGUGCAGGUUGCCGCUGAGGUGCGCGUCCCCAUCACUGUGAAGAACAGACAAGCACAGGUGUACGCAUUUGCCGAGCAUGGCACUGACCUUGGGAGCUCCAAGGACGUGAAGGGGAACCCUACAGAGUUCUUCAGACGCGCCGGCCAUGGGUCUUCCUAUGGCGUUGGUGUCAAGCUUGGUGCUGUAAGGGCGGAGUACGCUGUAGAUCACAAUGCUGGCACGGGAGCCUUCUUCUUGAGAUUUGGCGAGAGGUUUUGAAUGGAGUGGAGAUCUGUCACUGGAAAAAAAAAUUUCCUGUUAUAUAAUUUUUUUUGAAUGAAUUCCUGUUAUAUAAUAAUGUAGGAGUAACAGAAAGGAGAUUUGUCACUGAAUCUUGUAUCCGCAAUGCCUGCGAUGUGAAUAUAUAUACGCGGAAGACAGACUCUCUUUUUAUGAAAAGACGCUUUGUUAAUUCUCUUCCUCUGUGGAAGAUAGAUUCGAUGGUAUUCUCCAGUGAAGUUUUUUGUUUCUGUGAUAAAGUCAGUUAAUUUACUGAAAAACGUGGAGCUGGAGAUGUGAAUCAAGGUUCAGAAGUGUUUGCUCGAUAUGUCCAGCUACGUUUGUUUUUUCGGCGGCGGAACUUCUGCAGCUAUGUGCUAUCACAGCCCAGCGAAAGCGGCUAGAUUUUUAGGUACUUAGCCAUGCGGCCCAUUCCAGGCUUCCAGCCCAACGGACAACGGCGACGCAUAGUUGAUCAGAAUUCAGAAGUUCAGAACCUCAAGGAUGGACAGACCGUCGCUUCGGUGCACGCGUAGUUACUGCUGCGCACCAAAAAAAAAAAAAAAAAAAACGCGACUCAGACAGACUAUUCCUCCGUGCCAAAGGUGAACGCGACAUCCAGGCACGACGCCACACCCGUUCGACGACGACCUCAUCGGCGAUGAUGCGAUCGGGCGCGCGCGGCGGCGAGGAGGAGGAGGACCGGAAGCCGGUGAUCAAGCCGGGCGUGCACGUGACGAUCAAGGUGCAGGACACGGAGGGGCGC